UCGACAAUGUGAAAUUUAGCAUAGAGCUCUUUAAGUCCCAAAUUGAUUCAAUUGUGUUCUCGGCCCAACAUAGCUAGGGUUCUAGCAAGGCAUUUUACACUAAUUCAGUCAUAUUUUAAAGUACAAAAAGACGAGAUGUUUACGCGGUCUUAAAAAUAUUUCAGAGGCAAGAUAAACAAAUAUAUAUGGUUGACAAAAGGGUGGUCGAGAGGAGAUGAUCCCAAAUUCUAGAAUGAAAUGUACAGCAUAAAUAAUUAAAAUACUGUUCUCUAGUAAGUAUAUGUUUUAGAGAAAUAAAUCAUUAUGCACUCUGGGUACGUAAACGGAAUAUAUGAGUUUAAAUCUCCUAAAUAUGCAAAGAAAUAAUGAUUUUAUACACAUAAUUGUAUCAAAAAGUUGUUUGUGGAAACACAUUAUAAGAUGCUUUUGCAACUGUAGGUUUUAUGUUAUGACAAGCAUACUUUUUCCAUAACAAAGUAGGCAGGCCUUGGAGAUUUGGAUUAAGGAUGUGGUGCUUAAUGAAUGAGACAGAAAAGAACAGUAGAUCGGUGCGAACUAAGUGAUUUUUCACGUUCAUGUAAAAACAUUUUUAAAGUUGUUCUCAUGUUUUGUAUCUUUUGAUUUUAAUUGGCUUCAGUUUUGAAACCAAUCAUACCUAAUAUAGUUAGUUGGUAAGGACUCUAUGGUUGGUAUCUAAGAGGCGUGUUUGGUUCGCUUCUUUUUUACCAUGGAAUCGGAAUCGGAAUGGAUGAAUAUGUUUAUGGGUGUUUGGUACGCGGGAGUCCCAUUCCGAUUUCGAUUUUCGAGUGGAAUGGGAAUCCCCCAAUCAUCCAUUUUUUCAAUCCGGCCUCCUAGACCGGAUUGGAAGUUGAAUUCGGACGGAAUGAAUAUUUAUUCGGAUUAAAUUUAUUUUUUCAACUUUUUUAAUUAAAAUAUGAGUUAAAAUUUAAAAAUUAAAUAUAUAAUUUUAAAUUUUAAUUUGAACUUAAAUUAAAAAUUAAAAUUUAAUUAAGUAUUUCGAAUCUAACUUAUGAAUUUGAAUUUAAAUUAAAUUUUAAUUUAUAUAAAGUUUAUUCAAAUUUUAUUUCAAACUUAAAUUAAAUUUAUGAAUUCAAAUUAAAAUUUAAACUGUAAUUUUAAGUUUGACUUUGAAUAAAUAAAAAUUUAGUUUCAUAUUUUGAAUUAUCCACUCAACUUCAAAGAUUAAUUUAUUUUAAAAAAAUUGAUUUAAAAUUUUGACAUUAUUUAAAAAUUUUGAUGUAAAUUUUUAAUAUUUAAUUUUUAAUUUGAAUUUAAAUUAAUAUAUUAUAAAGAUAACGUUAUUAUAUUAAUUUGAUUACGUUUUUUAUAUCCACUUGAACCAAAUACCAACAAUGGGAAUUAUUUAUUUCGAUUCCAAUUUAGGUGAUGAACCAAACGGAAUUAGAUAAUAAGUCAUUCCGAUUCUGAUUCCAGCUUAUUUUGAUUCCGAUUCCGAUUCCGAUUCCGAUUUCGACUCCGACUCCGAUUUUAACUUCGAACCAAACACGCCCUAAGUUUCUAACUUUGGAAGCUUAAUUGUUUCAUGCUUUUAUGGAUACCUCGCUAACUUUCUUUUAAUAGUGAUAUUUUUUUUUUAUUCCUAAGAAAGUCCACUAUUCGAAACUAUUUUUCCAUAUAUCUGAUUUUUAUUUAAAAAAAUUUCUUUUCCAUUUUUUUGGGGCGACAUUACAACAUUAUCGGCAGGAGCAGAUACUAACGUUCGCCCUCAACAACAAAAACAAUAGAAAAGCGACAAAUAGGGAAAAAAAAAAGAAGAUGCAAAAAAUAGAAAAUUACAAAAAAAAAAGGAAAAAAAAAGAGGAAACAAAUUAAAGACCAUUUAUUCCGUCAACACCGCAAACCGUCCCGGAGCGGUUCAGGCCGAGUCGUGUCCGAACUGGUCCAUGAACCGGCCGAUGAGCCGGAUCAACUCGUCGACCGGUUCGGCGUAGGGGUCGACCUCGAAGAAGCCGUGCUGUUGCCCCGCGAACUCGACGAGCUCAACGUGCUUCCCCAGCUCCCUCAUCUUCAUCACGUAGUCCACCUCCCGAUCCCUCAAAACGUCUCGCUCGGCGACCACCAUGAGGAUCGGGCCGGUCUCGACCGGGCCCAGGUUCGGGCUCUCCGGUCCGAACGGGUUGAACACCGGGUAGUCCUUCGUCGCGCCGGGCGGCAGCAUGAGGCGGCAGUACCGCUCGGAUUGCUCCCGGUUCAGGAACGCGUCGGGCGGGCACUCCGACUCGGACCGGGUCGGCUGGGCCCCGCCGAAGGCCGGCAUUAGGAGGAUGAACCCGCGGACGCGGACCGGGCCCAGGCCGGCCGGCCCGAACCGGACGGCCAUGUGGUGGGUGAUGUUCCCGCCGGCCGAGUCGCCGGAGACGAAGACGCGGCCGAAGUCGACGGAUUCGGCGAUCCAGGGGUCGGCUCCGGCGCCGGCUUCGGCUUGGGAUCUGAGCCAGGAGAGGGCGGUGGCGCCGUCGUCGACGGCGGCGGGGAGGCGGUGCUCGGGGGCGAGGCGGUAGUCGGCGGAGAUGACGAACACGUUGAGCUCGGCGGCGAGGCGGAGGCACCAGGCGUGGAAGUUGGGCCAGGUGCGGGAGCCGAUGCAGAAGCCGCCGCCGUGGAAGUAGAAGAGGAGGGGGAGCUUCUCGCUACUGCAAUGAUCGGACGAUCGAUCGCGGCGGGGGCGGUAGAGGCGGAGGUGGAGGUCGUGCUGGGGAUCGUAGAGGGAAUCCUUCCAUUCGACGGAGCCGUCGUCGUGGACGGUGACGGGGAAGAUGGGGUCGGGGGAGCGCAGGAUGGUGCCGUCGCUCAGGACGCGGAUUGCGCCGCGGCAGUCCUCCACGACGUGAGGAGGAGGAGGAGGAGGAGACGAGAGGGGAUUAGCGGUGGCGAGGGGGGAGGCCAUUUUUUGUUGGAUCUGAAUUUGUGGCUGAAGAAGAAUUUGUUUUGUAGCUAAACCAGCUGUAGAGACAAUUGCUGUUGCUUCGGUGUGUGUGUUGAGGAGGGUGGAAGGGGAAGAGAUUUAUUUAUAUAGAAGAUGCCUCCUUCUGAAAACCAAACCGCACGUGUUUAUUAAUCGGACGGAAAGCAUUUGCUAAUUAAAGAAAUGGGAGUUCCUCAUUCGUACGUGUGAAACCUGGGGUCGCACGACGGUGACCUUCUAGUUACAUGCAUCUAGCCACGUCCAGCGUUGCAGCUAGCGAAAAAAUAAUAUUUCUCGUGGGAAAAAUUCUCCUUUAUUAUGUAGCGGGGUCAAAAAAAAUCUAGAAGAGUCAAAGAUGGAGUAGUCACAAGGAGAGAGCGUCGGUGGCCUGCUUCUAGAGAGAAAGCGAAGUUUCUGAUGAGGGUACUCGGUGCUCCACGGUUUCGAGUUUGGAAGGAAAAGAAGCUGUAUCGAGAAGACCAGAAACGUCAAAUUUGAUGACGCAGCAGAUUAGGUGAAUGACAUCACGCAUGGCGUAGAACGGAUGACAUUAGAUAUUGCCGGGAAAAAUAAAAUACAAAUGGCAACGAGAAAAUCGAGCAAGGCAGUUUGAAGCAUACGGAACUUAAAAAAUUCAAAAUUCUGUAAUCAAUUACUAUUGAGGGAGCCACUUAUCGCUACACAAAAGUUUGAAUUCAUUCCCGGCUGAAAUUUUAGGUUCUGGUAGUUAUUCACAUUUCCGAAGAAACCAAGCAUUAAGCUCAUCGAAUGAUUAAAUUUAGACAAAAAUCUAUGAAGAACAGCCGAUCACCUCUCGAAACCUUCCAACACCUCUCAUAGCUCAUAGUUUUUUUCAAUCGAGUCAAUAAAAUUAAAAGUACACGAUUCUAUUAGAUUUAAUAACUUAAAUCACUUCUUAAGGAAAUAAAAAUGAAAUUAAUUAAUGCUUAAUAGUCAAGAAAAUCUUAAUUUUUGUAAGGCCAAUUUGCAUAAAAAAUCCACUUAUUUUGGGCUUUUGCAAAAUCGGGCCAUCUUUUUUAUUUUUGCAGAUUCGGUCCGCUUUUUCAGCAAACUGACCAAAAUACCCUUAUUACUUUUUCUCUUUCCUCUUUCUCUCUCAUCUUCGUUCUCUCGUUCUUUUAAUUUUUUUUUCGCCGGAAAAAAAAAANGGAGAGGGGCUCGUUGCCGGCGACGUCGCCGGAGCGGACGAAGGCGACGUCGCCGGGGCAGGGGUGGCGUUUCCGCCUCUGCCGCUCUCUGGGAAGAGAAAGGAAAAAAGAACGACAAAAAAAAAAAGAAGAAAGAGAAAAAGGUACAAGGGCAUUUUGGUCAGUUUGCUGAAAAAGCGGACCGAAUCUGCAAAAACGAAAAAGGUGGCCCGAUUUUACAAAAGCCUAAAAUAAGUAGAUUUUUUAUGCAAAUUGGCCUUUUUGUAAACUAGAAAUAAUUUAGAUAAAAAAAAUUACACGGUGAGAGGUGUUAACUAAAAAAAAAAAAAAAAAAAAAAAAAAAUUAAAGAGUACCCGCGUCCAAUCGACGUAUAGUUGAGGGGGUCUCCUCAAAUUAUCACAUUAAAUUUAUUAAGGACUUCUUGUGGCCUCGGACGGCCCACAAAACUUCCAUUUCAGAUUUUAAAUCAGGAUCCAAAUCGCAGAACAACGCAAGUCUCAACCCAAGAGUAUGUCUAUCAAAAAUUUCAAGUUCAGAUCAGAUUCAUAGCCGCUGAAAAAUAUAUAAUAUUUUGCACAACAACAAUAUCUUUGUAAACACCGAUCGCACCUGACAAACUUAGCUAAGAGCUUGAUUGUUUUUUGAGAGAUAAGUAGCAUGCUACUGCUUCAUUUAUUUCAUUUAGAAAUAAAUUUAGCUAGAAAUGUGAAUCAACUAGGAUUCGAACUUGGAUCUCGGGUACCAAACACCAAAUCCUUUGCCACUUCGUUAGAAAUAAACUUAGCUAAGAGCUUGAUUGUUGGUAUCCGAAGUCUCCUAAGAAAGAUGAAUAAGGAGGAACCGAGGGAACUCAACAUUUUGCAAAACCACAGAAAUAUCAGUUAUUGAUAUGGACAGCAAAUUUUCAUAUCUUUGUUCAGGCAAAACAUAUUACUAGAGCCUGUUAUUGAUAAAAAAUAUGACUGUUUCUUUCAUUAGCUUUGCUUCUUUCACUACUGACGCCUCAUGCAACAAGAAUAUGAUGGAAAACCAUUAGUGCAUACGACUACGAUCUCAAUGAGAAUGAGAAUGAUAGAGCUAUACCUGCAAUGCCCCUGAACUGAAGCAGCACCACAGUACAAUUAAGUUAGAUGGAAAUGGUACAUAACCUUUGUCUCUUUUGUCGGAUUUGGCAAUAUGUCGUGUGAAGGGGCGUUUUCCAUUUAAAGACAAACAUGAGGAGGUAUCAACUUCCCCGGAUUCAUGAUACUAUUGGGAUCCAAUGCGGUCUUUAUUCUCUUCAUUGUUCUCAAUGCGCCAAUCCCAAGCUCCUCUUCAAGGUACUGCAAGAAAAGAAUCUUUAGACACUUCUACAGUCCUUGUCUUUAGAUACAACUACAGUUUAUUGAAAGUUUUAAACAAAAUAUAUGGCAACUACAAUAGGUAAUUUACGUGAGUGCAUGUUUCAAUGGACCGACAUUUUUAAAGCAUUAGUCACUUCAAAACCAGACUAUAUCACAAAUAUAACACAUUCAAAACAUCUAAAAAUUGUGCGCUAAUGGUGCUAAUGAUAGAGUUGAUAAAUCAUAUGGAAACUGAAAUUGUGUGCUAAUGGUGCUAAUGAUAGAAUUGAUAAAUCAUAUGGAAACUGAAGUUAUCGGUUUCCCAAGCAGCUAUCCGAUGGCUCUUCUAUUUUACAAGAAAAGCCUCAUCCCGGUUGGCUACUUUUCUUUCAUCAUUCUCUUAUUCACCUUUGUGGAUCAACAUUUAUGUGUAUAUAUGCUUUAAUCUUAUUUCACCUAUUCUGUUCUGCCAUGACUCUUAGGUAAGGUAGGAAAAUUGUACCUUCAUUUUCCCAGUACCCACUCCAUGUUCUCCUGUACAAGUUCCUGUUUAGUAGCCACAUAUAGCUCAUAUUAAAGCACAUUAAAAACACAGAAUGUAAUCAAGUAGUCUAUCAUCCUCCUAGGAUAAUUAUAUGCUAACAAAGUUAAAACUUCAGCGGAAAACUAAUUACUAAGCAUGAUUGCUAACAGAGUUGAUGCUAAUAUACUGAAGCUAGGCUUUUCUAGCAUCUCAGAUAGUAUGAUUACCUUCCAUUGACAAGGCUGUGUGGACCAUGAAAUGGUUGAGUCUCUCAGCUUCUUGCUGUUGUUCUUCCUUGCUUGGAUCAAAUAGAAUAAUUGUGUGGAAGUUUCCAUCACCAGCAUGAGCAAUGACCAUGCUGUGAGCAUAAAAAGGUUAAUAAUCAAUAUUAGAUUCCGGAGAAAUUAUUUUACAAGCUAUAAAGCACAAGUUUUCAAAGUGUUAUCAUCUAUAUAAAAUUUCAACACUAGCUGCCACUAUCAAGCCUUUUAGUCCCAACUAUUUAGAGUCGUUUGUAUGCUUAUAAGGAUACCAUUCUCCAUCCAAAUCUAUUUUUCCAAAAAAAUCUUUGUCAAACCAAGUGCCAUCAUAUCUUUUCUCACUAUCACACCAUAUUAUCAAAUUUGAUCUUCCGCUCCCAGAGGUAUUUAUGCUAGAACAAAUUAACCCACCUUUACUUCUAUUUUGAUGCAAUUUCUGUUGUACAAGCUAAACCAUCUCCCAUGCUUGUUCUCUAUGUGCCAUGCAUGUCUUGAAUCAAUAUGGUUGUUAUUAAUUAUACAAUUUUAUUUACUUCACCUACAAAAAAAGCAUGCUCGAGAUGUUCUAACUUGAACAACUCUUUUGCUGAACAAUCAGAUAAAAGAGCUUACCAUGUUAACGGUGAAGCAUCAAGCUGUUGCUUUGAUUUUGAAAUACAUUCUGCAAGCCUUGAUAAAGGAACACAGACAUCCUGGAAAGAGAAAAACCAGUAAGAUGCUAGGAAAAAGAUAAAGCGCGUCAAAUAAAUCAUUUAGAAUAUGUGCAUGCAUGCCCUUAUGAUUUACAACAAGGCAAAGGAUCACAGACUUGUUCGUACUAGGUAGUUCAGGCAGUAGUAACAGAUUAGUGGAAGCAUGCAUUAAUGGGGAAAAAAAAAACUGUCUGGUUAUUUAUGAAAAGCAGAAGCACAUUUCAAUUGCCUUUUAACUAGACUAAACAGGAAGUUGGAAUUAGCCUGCUUGAUACCAAUUUAAUCCUUAUAUUUUAGCUAAUUGUCAUCUAUUCUAGUGCAACUAAAAUUUCAAAUAAAAGGAAAUUGUUUAAAAUUAUCAAGAGACAAACCGUUAUCAUUGCCUCAUACCCAGGUGCCAUAGCAAAGCCUGCCCAAAGCGCCUCCUUCCGUAUCUGCAUAAAAAGAACGUCCAGACAUAAUUACAAAAAAGAAUGUCCAGACAUAAUUACUGAAAAUAAAUAACUGGAAGAAUAAAAUGGAGUGGCCUCUAACAUAUAUUGACUAAGCUCAGAAACUAUGUCAUAGAGUAUUGACAGAACAUAUUAACCUUUAUUAGGAAUCCACCAGCAUGAAAGUUUCAGAGCAUAUGAUGUAAGAGCUCAAGUUCACUCAAUUAAGAUAGGUCACAAUCACCUAUUACACAGACCGAGUGUCAAGAUGAUUAAGUUAUGCGAUGGAUGUUUAUUCUGUGAUUGUUAAUUACUCCUCUUCAUGGAUCUGAAAAGAUUUUACACUAGUAAUGAUUCAUUAAUUUCAAGACAAAUGAUUAAUGAUACUUAUACUAUCAAGUAAGUGAGACAAUAUUUUUAAAUUUUAACCAGUCACAGAAUGGAAUUCAGUGAAUGGAACCUGUUUUUUUUAUCAAUGAGGAUAUAAGAAAAAUCAACUCAUGGAUACUUAUACUAUCAAGUAAGUGAGACAAUAUUUUUAAAUUUUAACCAGUCAAAUUAGGGAAUUCAGUGAAUGGAACCUGUUUUUUUUAUCAAUGAGGAUAUAAGAAAAAUCAACUCAUGGAUAUGUAUACUAGAUGAACCAAAUAAGAGCAAUGCACACGUAUGCAAUAUCACAGUUGAUAAAUGUUUGUCAGUAAAUAAGGGUGAUGAACUGGGCUGGCCCAAAGUGACAGUGUUAUGUUACCACACUAUAAAUUCUCAAGCCAAAAAACUAUGGUCAGAAAAACAAUAAGAUAAAUAUAUCAACAUAAGUAUUCAUAUAAAAAGAAAAUAAAAAAGACUUCAAAAGAAUGGCAUGUCUGACCUUCCAUAGCUCCUUUUUAGCAUCAGGAUCUUCCACAAAAACAAAAUCAGAGCCAUUAUGUUCUGAAACGAUAUUCUGAACCAGCAAUGUUUGUUCUCGUGCAUAUGCUUCUGAUAAUUUGAAAACAGAAACAAUUUAAUAAGACUGACUUAUAAAGGAUUUACAAAAUAAAAAGCACAAACUGAGAACAAUUUUUUGAAAAACAGCCAAAACCCUUUGUAGCAUACCUGUGCCUAUAAAUUCGAACAUCAAUGUGGGAACUUCAGGUAUAUUUUUCCCAUUUGCCAAAUUAAUUGCCUUUAUUUGAACCUCAUCCAACAGCUCCACUCUGGAUACCUACUCAGGGAUGAAGGAAGAAACAUCAACAGAUAACAUCAACGAAAUAUUUUGACAUUUCAUUACAAUCAAGAAAGACAUGCAAUUGACAUUUUGAUAGUCCAUAUGAAAUAAAGACAUUUAAAAACAUAUGAAAAAUAAGGAUUUGCUUUAAUAAUUGCGUAUUUACCAUCUGAAAAAUCUAUAUCAAUUAAUCACUUUCAUUUUUCUAGCACUAGAACAUAUUAAUACACAACAAAUAGGGCACCAUUACAAGUCUCGAAACAGCAACAUACUCAGGAAGAGCAACCAUGAAGAGAAGGGUGCAGUUUAGCACUGUCUGCACAACUAAUUUCUGACGCAAUUGAAUAAGCUUUUGUAAUAUUACUUUUUUAUACUUUUCCGAACUUUCCAAUAACAGUUACCAAUAUUUUUCUUAUUUUCGUUAUAAAAAAGGCUUCACACAUUAUCUUUCUGCUCACCAUUAAUAUUACUGAUAUAUACUUAUCAACACAGAAUAAACCCCAAUAAACAGAAAUAUUUUGGAGGAAAGCCCACAAUUAUUACACAACAGAAGAAAGCAUACCAGUUUAGACUCUCAAUUUUACAACUCCUUAGCCGAUCUUAUUACAAGACUCUCAAAUUGGCCACUCCAUAGCUAAUCUUAUAACAAUUUCAGGCCAACUUUCUUUUCCAAUUGGUAACUUGUCUCAAAGAAAAAAAAAAAAAAAAUCAGGUUGGAGCCUAGGUCAAAUUCGCAGUUCAACUAUAUAAUCUCAGUAUAGGAACUUGGUUCAGUACGAGUUUAGGUGUUUGAUCCUUUAAUCACAUGCAAAUUUCUACUAGCAAUUAUGCACUGACUGUUAUCAAUUAUUAAUGUUUUGGCCAUAAACCAACAGUCAAGGGUAAUACAGUCGUCAACAAGGGAAAAGUUACACCAAUCACAAUCCAGCUUGGAUGGCUCUUAACCACUAAUUAAUAAUCUUUAUGUUUGUUGCAAGAACAUAAUGCAGAAUAAAAAAUAAAACAAACAAACAAAUAAACAAACAAAGAGAUAUUCACCACCUGAAACACCAAGACUAUAAUAAGAAUGACCACAUUCAUAUUGUCAUAAGAAAAGCCAAAUGUGAAAACCGAUACACUAGCUCCUGAUAGACAAUAGAAAACUUUGAAAGAAAGAAAUAGCAAAGAAUAGAUAGAGAGAUAAGGAGACUUAUUAUCCAAUACUCAAACCUGUAUACCAGAAAGCAUUGUAGCAAUGGCAACAUCAGCAGCAUCCUUUAUUGUUUGGAAAUUGCACAUAGCAACCUGAAAUAUGAGAGACAAGUAGGAUGAUCACUCUAAAAUAUGGUAUAGAAGGGAAAAAGACCCAAGAUACUAGAUACUCUACUACAAAAGAAUAGAAGGAAGAGAUGAAAUUAACCCAUGCCGAAGCACAAAAUGGAUGUAUAGAACAAGAAAUGGGAUUUGAUAUUUCUAAGAAGCUGCAAUAUUGUCAUUUGCUUCAAAAAAUGACUGAAGCACAUUAACAAACUAAAAUUGCAUCGUUCUUUCUACCUUUUUCACUUUGACCCAAUAUAAAACAAACUUUGUAUUCUGAAAGUGAAAUAUUGAGCAAGGCAUGCACAAGAGAAAACCAAUACCACUGAAUGUGAAGGAAGCUUCUGCAGCCGUAAAGUCACUUCAGUAAUUACCCCUAAGGUCCCUUCGCUUCCAAUAAUCAAUCUUGUUAAGUCAUAUCUGGCAGACAAUAAAAAUGAUAUGCAACAGUACUUUCUUAGUUUGAUUUCAAAUAUUUAGAGAAACUCUUAGUUGGAUUUCAAAUAUUUAGAGAAAGGUUCCAUCAUACCCAGCAGCACUUUUUCGAGCACGGGAGCCGGUCUUGAUAACUUCACCAUUUGCCAAAACAACCUGCACUUCAGAUAACAUCUGAUAACAUACCCCAUCAAAUUAACAUAAACAAAAUUCAGAGAAUAUCAUCAACAUACCAGAAGAUUAAUGACAUUGUCCCGCAUUGUUCCAUACCUAAAAACUAAGAACUCAAUCAUCAAAACCGAUUAAUUAUCAUCCAACCCACCAAUAAAUGCACUAUAGGUAACUUUUCUAUCUUUGAAGCAAUAUUAAUAACAUUAAGGAAACUAAACUAACAGUUAAAAGAAGAUGGAGGGUACUACCUUACAGCUAAAGAUCCAGAACAACGGGUAGCACACAUUCCUCCAAUUGUGGCUCCAGGUCCUGCAUGUCAAAAAUACAAGCCUCACCAAGUAUACUGAAUACCAAGUACUUACAUCCUUAUUCGAUCUUUACAUCCUAUUCAUGUGAAUAUAACAACUCACACCAGGUCCUGCAUUAAUUCCCCUAUUCUGCAGGUACAUUUCUUCUUAAAAUAGAAAGUAUGUAAGCUCUCUUCCAAAAUAAUUAGAAUACUCUUAUUUAUCGGCUCAAGUUGAGCACGCUGCUUAUCCAAAAGCAAUACAUAUGUUUGACAAAGUUAUUUUCAAAGGUCUUAGGCGAGAUGAACAGAACAACAUGAGCUUUCCUUUCCACGUCAGCUUCUCAAAAAGAGGAAGCAGAGUACCUUUCUAAAUGGUACCAGGUGGAAGUCCUUGCAUUAUCAUGUUCUAUUACAGCAGUCAAAUAUCAAUCUAGGAACUUAUAUAGCUAAAAACCAAAUGAUAGUCAUAUGAUAGUCAAUGUUCUAGCUCCCUCUUCUGUAAUUAAAGUACGCAAGUGAAGGUUUGGAGACCUUCAAUAGGAACCAAGGUCUUUACUAAAUAGCUCAUUAGUUUAAACAUACUCUUGCAAUCAGGAAAGGCAUUUACACUGUUAAGUCUUCACCAAUCAUUAUAAAACAGCACCUUAGUGCUGCAAGUUGGCAAGAGUGCCCCACAUAUUAGCAUGUAACAGCUGAAUGGAAGAAAAGGAUCCAUGUAGCUUCCAAAUAGUUGGAAACAUGUAAGUCUAUGCGUUUUCUUGUUAAUAAGUUCAAUGAUGAAAAAGAUGAGAAGUGUUAAAUAUAAAAAAUAUAUAAACACCGUUCUCUAAUAGCUUAAGCUUUUAGAGUAUAACGGUUGUUUUAUAUGGUAUCAGAGCAGGAGGUCCUGAGUUCCGAGUCACGCCAGGCUCCUAACAUUUUUAAUUUUCUCUCAUUUAAUUCAAGUCCACGUCAUGGAUCUUGCGAAAAAAAAAAGAAGUCUCGAGCCCAGACGUGAGGGAGAGUGUUAAAUACAAAAAAUAUAUAAACAAUGUUCUCUAAUAGCUUAAACUUUUAGAGUACAACAGUUGUUUCACAAGAAGAAAAGGAAAAGACUAAAGUUCAUUCAGUGGGUUAUAGAAGGCACUCUAUCAGAAGAUGCAAAAAAUACACCCUAAUGGCUGAAAAUCAGCAUAGUGAAUUGUCGUGAUUUCAUUGGAAAUUAUGACACAUACAAAUUAGAAUAUAACAUAAGAUUGCCAACAACACAUAAUCAGAUAAGUAAUCCAUUAUCAGAUAAGUAAGCCAGUAAAAUUGAACCAAGAUUCACGGUGAUUCCACAUCACGCUAGAACUAAAUUAUCAAAAAAAAAAAAGACACUCACAGAUAAAUAGACCUUUGUAAAUAAUUGAGGAAAAUUUAAAACAAGAGUGAUAUUUUACUAGCCUGGAUCCAAAGGGAAGAAAAGACCAUAAGGCCUCAGAUACUCAUUUAGUUCAAUCCAUCCAAUCCCUGGUUCAACAACUACAUCCAUGUCCUCAACAUUCAAAGAUUUGAUUUUCUACAAUAGAAAGAGAAAAGAUGAAUGAAUGGAAAAUAUUUAAAAUCAAAAAAGAGAAUAGGUUUUAGGUAACAAUUCGAAAAAAACUGGUGUCUUCAAAGGAUAACUAAAAUGAAAAAAAAGAAAAAGAAUUGGCAUAAACUUCGACCAAAACAAGAAAGACCGAAAUAUAUGAAAAAAUGAAUUGGCAUACUAAUUUGCUGAAGCGUGAAAUAUUACGAAAGUAUCAUCAUAGCUGAGUGCUCAUCAAGAAGCUCUUUACAUAUGAAUCAUUCUACAAGCAAGUUAGAUCUCAGGCAUAAACUAGCAUUAUACUCCAAGACCUAGACAGUCAGGUUACACCCAAAAAAAGGUGAAAGAUGGAAUCAACCUAUAUGCACCAUUGCUCUAGCACAUCAAGGGACAAAAACCAACAGGAUCAAACAACAAAUAUUCCUCAUUUCAAAAGGGCAAAACACUAGUAUUCAACUUCUUUCUUGCAGAAACUUAUUGAAUUUAAAUCCUGUGCAGCUACUUGUAUUAUCUACAUGAAUAUGGUGCUUUGAGCCAUGAUUCUAGGUCUAAUAUAUGUUUCUUACCAAGGGGGAAUAUAACAAGGUAAUAUGGAAAAGUUGGAUAUUUCUUCUGUCCUUUGAGUAGUCACAUCAUAGGGCAUGGAAUCUAUAGAAAGAUUUGAGAUGCUUACUGUCAUCAAAGACAUGUCAAUGCACACACCACCCUGAGGAGCUAAAGUAUGGCCUUCGAUUGAUGUAGCUCCACCAUAUGGUACAAUAGGAACCUACCACCACAACAAAAUGAGUAAUCACUCAAAUUAGACUCUCCAAUCCAAUAGAGCAAAAGGUCAAAUGACAUUCUUGAAAAGUCAUAUGCAGAAUGGACCAACAUGUAGUUAGUGGAAACAAUUUAAAAUACUGUAUUCUUGUAGAAGUGAAGCUUUCUCAAGAAUGUUAAACAUUUUCCAAAACCCUUUGUUCUUUUUCUUCGACAAGAGAAAGACGACAUACCUUAUACUUGUUGCAAGCUGUCACAAUCUUCUGCACGUCAUCUUGUGUUCUGCAUUGCAUUUUGAGCACAUUUUUUGUAAGGGAAAAGGAACAUUAACUCAAGAUUCUCUAGUUCAGAAUGUCAAAAUGAACUACUUAUACCAAAAUAAUUGGUAAUUGGCAGUGGAAUUGAUUCUAAAACAGAUAAUAAAAGAAGAGAAUCAAUUAGCUAAUUGACUUCAUCAAUUACUUCUGUAUAAUCAAGUACAUGCCUUUUCACCGCAGGAUUGUACUGACGAAAUGGAGAAUAGAAGGUUAAAUAUAUCUCCAUGCCACACAUAUGGCAAGAGAUACAAUGAGUAAAAGAAUGAUUCUCUACAGGUGACUUAUCAUCGCCACGGCAGAUGACAUAUGAUCAGAGGCCAAAGAUCAAAGGCUACAGUAGACAAACAUCAAUGAUGUAAUUAAAUUCUACUAAGCUUUCAAUCUCCACAUUUGCAAUAUUAACCUUGGGGAAAAGAAAAAAUGAAACAACUUAAAAAAGCAUCUUGAGAAAUUUCGUGACAAAGGGUAUUCUUCUAUUAGUUUGUUAGUUUUGGUUAAAAAGCAGUACAUGGUAGUGGUUAACUGUCUGAAUUAUUAUAAGACAUAUCUUGGGUGAUCUUCUGAUGAUAAGAAAUGGGACCUCAAACCAUAUUAAUUGAAUUUGAUUAACAAACUAUCCAAACCUGCAAUAACAAGUCUCCUAAUUUUUCUUCAGAUGUUAAAGCUAAUGUAACCGGCCUUGUAACCGGCCUUGAUUUUAAGUUAAUUGAAUCCGGCUCACCAGUUUCUAAGAAUCCUCAGAUUAGACACAGAGAUCGAGAGACCACUUAUUUAUCGCCUUGGCAAUGGGAUAGUCAAGUUUGCACUAGUUCUACUCAAAAUCCAGGCACAAUUAGCCCAUUGCCUUGUAAUAUGUACUAUUUUCAUUUUAAGUCACGCAUUACUACCUACCUAGUAAAUGUUGUGAAUGAUGAAGCUAACAUUGCUAAAGUCACCUAGAGUUGCAACAUACAAAAAUCAAGUAAUACACCAAUGAAUGCAGGGGGUGAAAAAAUAAACGAAAAAUAAACAAAACACCUAGGAUAGACGACAACAUCCGGAACAUUCACAGCUUUGUGGAAGCUAUUCUGUGGCUUGCCAUGGAAGUACCUCUCUUCAUAGUCGAGUGUCAUGUUAUUCUACCAAUUAAUUAGUGAGAAAAAAAACAUUAAACCAAUACCAUCCAAUAGCCAAAUACUCAGCAAUGUGAGUCUAACUGAGAUAAUACUUGCAAAAUCUCUCGCAACUCUUCGAUGAACUCCUCCGGAAUCUCCUUGCGAGUACCUCGAACCACUAGAUCGGUGCUCCCUUUCCCAUCUAUGCUGCAUAGUUGAAGCAAAAGUAAAGUCACCAUCCGAUCGAGAGUUUGUUGAUGAGAGGUGAGAAAAGGGAGAUCAAAAGGAGGAAGGAUUCGAACCCAUGAUCGAGGCCGGCGUCGCAGAGGGAGGGAUCGGGGCGGAGAUCGACGGCGAGGGCUCCGGCGGAGGCGGCGACGGCGAGGGGAAGGAGCGCACGCGACCAUGAGAAGGCGAAGCCCUCCGUGGCGGAGCUCGGGGGCUCGGGGAGGGCGGAGAGGAGUCGGGGGAGGAGGAGAGGGGAGCGGAGAGCUCGGCGGAGGAAGGGGCGGGGUGAGGAGGAGGAGGCGAGGCGAGAGAGGAAGGUGGAGAACAAGCCCAUGGCGAUGGAUAGGAGAGAGGGGGAGGGGAGGGGAGGGGAGAGUGACUAGUAUAGUUUAUCUUCUUCUCGAGUGGCGUUUCUAACGAGUAACGAGCAGGCGAUGACGCGACCGCAUCGGCGCGAGGUCGCGAUAGCGGUGGUGGAUUGGAGGAGGAACCGAGGAAGUAUACUGCAGCUGCUACACUAUAUAUUAUCUAUUUUUUACUAAUUAAUUUUUAAAAAUACAGUAAAAAUAAUUUUUAAAAAUUAUAAUAAAAUAGAUGAAUCUUAAAAAUAAUUUAAUUAAUUGCAAACAACAUAUUAUUCUUUAUCACCGACACAUUUUAUAUAUUUUUGGGAUUAGCCUCCUCUAUCAUCCACUUGCAUUAGUCAUCACACAACUAACAAAAAAAUAAAAUAAAAAUAAAAAUAUAUAAAAUUUGUCUAACUUUGAGACAAUUAUUGACUAUCUAAUCUUUUAAAAUUUUAAUGUUACUGUCUAAUUUUUUUUAAGGAUAUUUUAGUUUUAAAAUUUAAAUUACUUAUUUACUUUAAUAAAUUUUAUAAUUAUAAAGAUUAUAUAAAGUAUAUUAAUUAAGUAUAUAAAAUAAAUAACAUAUUUAUAUUUGGAUGUUAGUUGAAUUCAAAUAAAAAAAAAAUAAAGAAAAAGAAAAAGUAAAAAACAGUCAUUAGGAGGUGCCCGCCCGUUCGGAUCCAAUUUCAAAACCACCGAAAGUCCUUCGUAAAGGCCGGGGCGGUCUGCUCCCAUCUCUCCGUUCGUCUCCGACCGCCCAACUGCAGAUGGAGGCGUCCAUCUCCGCCUUCUGCCGAUCCCUCUCCGCCUUCUGCCACCACGUCGAGAGCGCCUCCGACUCCCUCUCCGACUCCAUCCAGCGUCGUCCCAUCCCCCUCGGUAACCUCAUCCCAAACCAUUCUCAUCUCCCUCUUAUAUAUUCGUGUAUGCUCAUCCCCUUCUCUCUCUCCCCCUCUCUCUCUCUCUCUCUCUCUUCCUUAGAUUCCGCUGCCUCCGCCUUCUUGCAAUGCCUCGACCGCCGCGUCUCCGCCGCGAGCGCCGACCUCGACCUCCUCGAAUCCAUGGCGCUCGGCACCGUCUCCUUCGAGGAGCUCCUCGGCCACUGCAACGAGGUCUACAAGAUCAACCUCAAGUACAUCUCCGACCUCGAGGACCGCUUCGCCUCCUUCGGCUACGUUCCCGGUAACCGAUCGCAAUAUCGCAGCCGCCCGAACCCCUACCUGUUUGUGGUCUUCUUUUUAAUCGAUCUCGAAUUCUCGAUUGCUAGAGGUAGAGGUGGAAGACGAUGAGGGCGGCGAUGAGGAUUCUGGCGUUCUUUCCAAGUACAUGAGCCCUGAUAACGGCGUCGGUACGUCGCACUUUGCUUGCAGGAAACGGCUCAAUGACGAUUUUUUGUAUCCUUUUUUUGGUUCAUAAUUUUCUUCAUAAUUUUCUUCAAGUAGAAAUUUCUCUCAUUCUAAUGCAGUAUAGUAGCUUAUUUUUGGAAUAAUUGUAGAUCUGAGAUCUUAGAAUGCGAAGUGUGUCAAGCUUUACAGUUGUGGCACGCCUGUUUGUAUUUAGUACCUAAAGAUACAAUCGUUUUUGUAGCUAGAAAGUUAUGAUUCCUCGCAAUGAGUUAUGGUCUCGCAAUUCAUGGGAGUUCUUAUUAUGCAAUUGCACUGCCGUAUCGAUGUAUCAUGAAUCUUGAUCCUCCCUUUACUUGCCUUCGUCUUCUUUAUUUUUGAACGCUUGCUGUUUACGAGUGCUCAAUAUUCUCAAUGAGUCUGCAUCAAGAAUAGCAUGAAUUCAUUUCAACCCCAUAGUUUUUGGUUCACCAAAAUUUUCGAUUUACACUACCUUGGUUUACAGUGCAGCUUAAUGUAUAUUACAUCUGAAAUGGCAGCAUAUAUUUGCAGCAUUUAUGUGUCUUUCCCUGACUAUCGGUAAGGUUCGAGGACUCUGUUUCACUGCGAAAUCUUGGAUUUUCAGAUGCUUGCCUGGCCACUCUAGCCUCCGAAGGUUUGACACAUUUCUGGAUAACUGUAUUUCUCACAGCAGGCUACUAGAGUGCUAAAACUUGUAAAUUCUUGCUCAGAAUAUAUUCUGAUUAAGAUGAUAGCAUCAAUAUGGUCUCUUUUAAGUGGUAACAAAUCAUGAACGGCCUUCUCCAAUAUUCUGAAUUUCGAGCCUUAAGUAGCACAAUUUGAUAGCCUCGUAUAGGGAAAUUCCAAGUGCAAUGAGAAACUUACCACAGAAAAGGACUUAAGAAUACCUGUUAUGUGUGAGACAACCAAGUAGCUAGUUUUGGCUGUUUUGAUGCUUUGUUAUUGUGUAAUUGUUGCGACUUAGCAUUCCUGGUGUCAACAGUUGUGUGAGUGCUAUCUGAAGGUUAGACCAUGGAUCUAAUGGCUGCUGAGGAUAAUAUUGGAUGUCAACAAGCCGAUAGAGUUGUGGCUUCCGGAAAUAGCCUUAAGAGGAGAAUAAGAGGCUCGGUUAUUGAUGAAUUCUUCCCUAUAUUAGCUUUUUGGAACUAGGACUUCUUUGUCCCAAAAGCAUUUUUCCAUGCUGCACUUGCAUAAAUAACUUGAACAUGCCUUAUUAAUGUACUUCAAAGGUCUGCUGAUCUACUCAGAGUGGCCAACUGAGUGAAGAGGAAAGGAUGAGUGAAAAGGCUGUCUAAACUCUAAAGGUGUUAUCUAUAAACAUGUCGCUACUGGAUACUACAACAUUUGUUUAUUUUUGAUAAAACUGUAGUAUUGCAUGUAUUGUUUGUUUCUUAGUUGUUGAAUUGUAAUAUUUCUUUGUCAAAACAUCAUUUUAUAACUUAUGGAAAGUCUUGUCAGGUGACGAGCGUGAUGCAACUCUGAAGAAAUUUUCAGAGCUGGAUAUGAGGUAUUGUUGGCAAAGUUUCUUUUUUUUUUUUAAAUUUUUGAAUCAUAUUUUCCUCAUCCAUUACUUAAUAGUUUGUUGAUGAUUUCGCUUAGUGAUGAUGAGGGCCAACCACAUGAAAAGAUAACCUUCUCUCAACUUACGAAGGAUGUUCUAAAUACCCAAGGUGCUAUAUAAUUUGUCUGUUUGGGAUUACGUUGUGAUCAACUAACAAGUUUAAUCUCUUUGUUUGGCUACUGAUUUUGCUAUGUGCUAUUGAUAAGAUGGAAGUGCUACGAACUCAGUUAUAAAGGUGUCCAAGGAUGACUAUGAUAAUCUUCCUUCCUAUAUGAAAACUCUAGCUUCCUGGGAGGUAUGUAUAUCAUCAUGCACUAGCAACACAAUGUUUAAUGUCUCGUACAUGAAACAAAAUUUAUUGUGUUAUUUUUAAAGUGAAUUUUAUUCCUCAGGCAUAGUAACAACUGUUAAUCUGCAUAUGCAUUGUAGUAACCUUGCUACAGUAGCAUAAAGGUUGCACAGAACAUCAACUUUUGUAUGCUGCUUAUAAAUUUCUAGCAUAUUGACUAAGCAACACAUUGACUUCCCUAAUUUUCUCGAGUCCUUCUACCUCUUUCUUAUUCCAAAUAUCGGGAAAGUGGUUCCAAGUAUGUGACAUAAGGAUGUGCAGGCCCUGAGGUUGUGCACCAACUUUUUAUUCGAAGAAGUAAUUUAACAAUAACCUAUACUCUGAUACCAUGUGUUGCCGAAGUGAUAGUUUCUCUUGAAUCUUGACGUACCAUCAUGUGCUACAUGUUUCAUCAUUGUGCGGGCCGCACCGCUUGUAUUCUCUAGGUGGAGGUUCCCCAAAAAACGUGGAAUUGGGUGGUUGCAUGUGCAGUUGCACGCGCAACCGAACAUUCCAAAAGGGCCUCUGCGAUUGAAUGCUGCAAAGCUUUGUGCAAUGCGAUGGCCAAACACCUACUGUAUCUAUCUACCUUCUGAGAAUUCCCAUUGCAGUUGGCAGUAAUACUUCAUCUUUUAAGUUUUAACUAUUCAACUUCAUUAAUGUUUAUGUGCUCUCUAUUCACUACUAUGCUACUUGCUGAAUGCCCCAUCUACCACCUGCAAUUUCGUAUAAUAUUGCAGAAAAACAGCGUUUGGUUUAAAUAUUGGCUUGUAAGUUAAUUUGUCUGACUCUUGAUGGAUCUUGGUACUUUGUUAUAUUCACUUGUUAUUUGAUGUAAGCUAGAGUACCAGGAGAAUUUAACUAUUUAUUGCCUAUUUGCAUUUCUUCUUGACUAGUUUAUAUCAAAUAUUCUUAUGCUAAUUAUUGCGUCCUUGUCACAGGAGUUGCAGGACGCCGUUGUAAAGUUGAAUUCAUACUUCUGCAAAGACAGAAGUGAGGGAAGUGAUAAACUUAACCAGGAUGAUACUGAAAAAAUAGGGCUAGGUGAGUGAAUUUAUAAAACUGGUUGCCUCCGCAUUUUGUGAGAUCUUGCUCUUUUUCUGUGUCCCGUUUACAAAUCACUUGUGACUGACCACAACUACAAGUAAUACUACCUCAAGCGGAAGUUGGAACUUUGCAUAUGACAUAAAGGAAAUUAGUAUAAUCUAAACAACUGCGAAUCUGCAACAUCUUGUCCAUCUUAUGCGUUGCCAUUACAGUGAUUUAGAUGCUGGUUUGUUCUUGUUGCAGGGCGCAAGGGACGGUCUUAUCUGUUAGUACUCUUACGGAUGAAUCAGUUAACUAUGGAGAACAUUGAUGGUUCCAUUUUCUAUCACACGUGCGUCAACUGAUCCGCCUAAUAAUGUCCUGCAUACCUGAAGCAUAUUCUCUACAUAGAAGGCUAUACAAACCCAAAAGGAUGGCUAUGUGAAGCUUUUUCUUUGCCUCAUUCUCAGUUUCAAGAUGAAUGAUGGCACCAUAUCUUGUGUGAAUUUAUGCACCAGGUCAGGGAGUAGCUAUUUGUGAAAGUCUUUUGAUUUUACUUCAGACCAGUAAUUGUAAUUCACUAAAAGUUGUUUUAACCCUCUAGAAUCUAGUGUAACUUUCCCUGAUCAUCUCCAAAUGCUAAAUGACGGAGGCGAGCGAGGACUUGAAGCUAGUCAAUGUAAUUAUCGUGUUUCUGUACAUCGGUUUUCUUGCUAAAAUUGAUUGCCUUCUCUGCUUCUGCCUAUUCAUACAAUGAGCUGCAGGAAGUGAGAUUCAUGUGGGGGAAACAGUCGAGGAAUGAUUUUCAAAAUAUUAUGUAACUCGUGUCUCACUAACAACACAUCCGUAAAAAGAGUUACAAAUAUCAAAAUCAGAUGAUAAAAUUAAAACUUUUAAAGUUUGCUUGCCUAUUUAAGCUUUGUCAGUGAAAUUAGAAUUUAUGUUUUUAUUUUUACAAAUACGUGACAUUUUUAAGAAUUAUAAAUUUUGAGAGGUCGAAUUCAAAUUAGCCAUAUAGCUGAGGGGGUCCCCGUACAUUUUGUUUUUUUGUUUUUUUUUUUUUGAAAGAUAGAUAGCAUAUUAUCGAUUCGUUUAUUUCAUUUAGAAAUAGCCUUAACUGAAAAUAUAAAUCAACUAAAAUUCAAAUUUGGAAUCUCAAAUAUCAGCCACCAAAUUUAAAUUUAGAAUCUUGAAUAUCAACCACCAAAUUUUUUAUUAUUUGCACUAGCGACCGUCGGUGUCCCCGUACAUUUUGUUACCAAUCGAAGUAGGGGAAUGACUAGUAUUUGGAUUGGAUAGCGUCGUUGGCGGUGCUCCGAACUCCGAAGAGGAUCAAAGACCCAGAGCAUCACCGGAGGCGCGAUGGUCUCCUACGCGGGCGUGGGCUCGCUCCUCCCGAGACUCGGGUGGAUGCGGAUGCGGCGGCCCCCCAAUCCGAAUCCGCGGUCGAGGUGGCCGACGCGGACGACGACGACGACGACGAGGAGGAGGAGUCGCUCUUUUUCCUCCUCCUCGCCUCUCCGCGCCGCUCUCGAUUCCCCCGACGUCUCCCUCCUCGCCGACGCCGCGCGCAUCUCCCUCUCCCCCAACGAAGUAUCCACUCUCUCUCUCUCUCUCUUUCUCUCUCUCUCUCUCUCUCUCUCUCUCUCUCUCUGGGGGUUGUGUUUUAGGGUUUAGGGCAAAAUCAUGGCAAUUUCCCCAAUUUUGUCCAUGGCAGGUUCGAGAAUUCGAGCCCAAGAUUAUGCAGGUCAUUGACUGGUAAUUCCAUUCUCUCUCUCUCUCUCUCUCUCUCUCUAAACCCACUACUGUUGCUAUCUUGUGCUGCUUUGGAGCUGGUGCUUGAAUUUGGAUUGAUGUUGUUGUAAUUCGACACUAGAUCUAAAUUUAGUGAAAGUGGGAGCUCCGACGCCGUGAAGAUCCGCUGCCGCCUAUUCGUGGGCUUAGCUCGUUAAAAGGAGCUUCCCUGAAAAGGUUCAGAGUUUUUGUGGAAAAAGAUUGAAAAUGUAGCCCACGGCUGGACGGCGUGGUUGUGAUCGAAUACGCGGUUGCAGUUAUUCCAAUCCAAAUGCGCCCUUAAUUGAAUGUCAUGUAUGUUAUGCUUCUCGGUUCAGAUGGUGAGUUUAAAGUAAGCGGUCACGCGAUUGUGUUUGUGGAAUUGUAUUAGUAUCACGUGCUCUUACAUUCCUUUUCUUUGUUCAGAUCAGUAAUAGCUCUGCUGCUAUUAUUCCUGAAGCAUACAUCUUUUCUGGCUUUGAGUCCUUAUUAUUUCACUUUCAUGUUCAGCAAGUAGAGUAUCAAUGUGAUUUACAUCUACAUUCCAUUAAUAUCAAUAGCUGGAGAAAUUAGUGUGAAUAGAAACAUGGCUUGAAUAUUGUACAUUAUUCUAAACAAGGAUUCAAAACCAAUAGGGCAGCAAUUUAAGGGCGAGAAAGAGAAAAAAAUAUAAUCAGAAGGAUAGAAAUGAUCGUAUGUUAAGAUUCAACUAAGAAUUGCGGCACUUAAUUACUACAUCUCGUCAUAUACCUUGAUGUUUAGAAAAAAAUUUGGUGGUUGAUUGAGGCCCAAAAGGUACUCAUUUGGAGUACUCGAUUGAGGUUCAGGAAUCUGAAUUUCCUCGUGGAGAGUAUUAAUAAUAUUAUAUAUAAGAAGAUUAUACGGGGAGAGGUCCACAUAAUUCUCUAUUGAGUGUACAAAUGAGAUCAAGAACUUAAUGUGCACUUAUGUUCUACUACCUUCUUUGUUCUAACCUUUUGCAUCCAUCCUAUAACAGUAUAUUAUGAAAGAUAGAUCAAUUUAUUUAAUUGCUCUUUUACUUGAUAAUAGGUUUGGGCAACUCCAGGCUGUUGAUCUUGAGAGUAUCGAACCUUCACUUCGAGCUAGUAUGUAUAAGAUUUUUAUUGAAUUUAUCAUGUUCAUGCCGGUGAUUUUUCACUUUACCAUUGAAUCAGCAUUCAUGUAUGUUUGUCCGGAGUCCAACCUCUGCCUGUGUUGAAAGGUCUAUAUCAUGAAUCUCAUAUGAGAAAUAUUUCAAAUUCGAUGUGAUUAUAAGUGUUUAAAAUUUGAGAAGGGUUAUCUAGUAUAUGCUGUUUCUACGGCACUGAAAUUCGUCCUUUAUUGCAUGAGAAUUUUAGCAGUAAUAUAUUGCAUCAGCAGUUUCAGCCUGAUCCUUGUAAUUGUCUUCUUAAAUUACAUCUUAUGAAGUAUUUUACGUUCAAUGCACUGUUCGUCAUCUACACUACUUAACUAUGACUGAAUGAAUUGGUUUCCGUGAUCAGAUACUGAAGUAGAUGCCCGUACAAGAGAAGAUGCGCCAGAAGCAUUUGAUAACAGGUUGUAAAAAGUCAUGCUUUAAGACCACACUCCAUUUUAGGGUCUAAUAUUUUCCCUUUAUAGUCAACAAAACCUAAAUAUUUGUUUUGUAUGAACACAGGGAGGCCAUAAUAGCAGCUGUUCCGAGUUACGAGGAUCCAUACAUCAAAGUUCCAAGAGUAUUGAACAAGGAAUGAAGUUUUAGAUUUAAAUAGUUUGAUUGGCGUCAUGAGUGGGAAUUCUUGUGCAGGUUUUUGUCUACGACUACUAUUCCAUUGUCACGUAAACUAAAUGUAGCUGUUACUGGGAAUGUAAUAUUGGCGACUAUUUCACUCUAAACUAUUAAUAGGAGCAUUAUGUAGUAAAUUUUUCGAUCUGUUUUAAGUCCUUGCUCCAAAAUCAUAACCUUUAUAGUGGCAAUUUUGCAUAAAUUUUUUACGUCUCCGGAAGCCAAAAAGUAACUGAGAAGUGGUUCAUUUUUUGUAAUUUUUUAUUUCCAGUUAAAAUAAGGAGCAUUACCUUCCCUAACACUCCGAACUCAAAAGUUUUAGGGAACAUUUGACAAAAAUGAACGUUUGUGAAAGUUGUCCUUUUGAUAUUUACAAAUUCUGUGAUGUCAUAAUAAUUCAAAGGAAUUGUACAACAAAUGUCACAAGCAAUACAUUUAUCAAAUUUUAUUGAAUUUUUUCGCUACAAGAAACAAUGAAAUUUAAAGAAACUUGCUUAGUUGAUCAGUGGUCCCAAUAAAUCUUUACCAAUAAUCAAGGCAUGAACAUUUCCCUUCCAUAAAAUGGUGAAACCUGCUCCCAUCUCUCACAAUAAUCUCCCUACCCAAAACCUUAGUAACCAUCUUACUAAACUCAUGACAAUCCCCACACACCCUCAAAUUUUUCACAAUUCUUAUGGGCUUUGAUACCUCAGUCACCAUCAACCCAAAAGCAAUAGCCAACCUCUCACUAUGCUCCUUUAUAACAUGCACUUUUUCCUCAUCCCCUAUAUCAUGCAAAACUGAAGAAACAUCAGGAGAAUAACCUGCCUCAGCUAAUCUCCUAUCAACCAUUUCAAGUCUUUUGUAGAUUCCAAAGCAGUCCUUGUGUUCUUUAUCCCCUGCCACAAAUUUAUGCACACAACCAUAGGCCUCUAUCAAGCUCCAACCUGCGACCUUAUUCGUCCCACGAUCAACCAUUAACCUUCGAACCUUACUAACAUCCUCCCAUUUUCUCCCCCUUGCGUAGAUGCUAGCUAGAAGAACGUAAUGGCCGUCGUGGGUCGGUUCUAGUUCAAUGAGUUUGUUCCCUAUAGUGACCCCUAAGUCUAUCAAUCCAUGCAUCUUGCAUGCUCCCAACAAGGUGCCCCAUAGUACCGGGUCGGGUGGAGUACUCAUCCCUUCAAUCAAUUCGAGGGCUUCGGGGACUAACCCAGCACGGCCCAAAAGAUCGACCAUGCAACCAUAAUGCUCCACCUCGGGCUCAAUGUUGUAUUCUUCUACCAUUGAUUUGAAAAAGUUUCGGCCUUCGGUGACUAAUCCGGCACGGCUACAUGCAUUUAGAACCCCCACAAAUGUCACAUUCGUGGGUCGAAGCCCUUCGCCGAUGAACUGUUGGAAGAGCUCCAGUGUCUCCUUUGCAAGUCCAUGUAUGGCCAAACCACAUAUCAUAGCAUUCCAGGCAAACACAUCUCUCUGCGGCAAAUCAUCAAACAAGCGCCGCGAGAUCGCGAUGCAUCCGCAUUUCGCAUACAUGUCGACCAGUGCUGUGCCGAGCGCCAUGGUUAUGGGGAAAUUGACCUUCCUUACAGUGUCGUGAAUGAAUUGGCCAUUCUCGAGCAAACCCAGCUGCGCUGAAGCCGAGAGGGCCGUCACCAAUAUAGCCUCGUUCACCAUUAAUCCUCUCCUCGUCAUCUCCCUAAAUAACCGCAGCCCCUUCUCCAAGAUACCGUUUUGGACAUAGCCCAUGAUCAUCGUGCUCCAAGAGAUCACAUCCCUCUGAGGCAUUUCGUCGAACACCUCCUCCGCAGCGCUCAUGCGGCCCGACCUCGCGUACCCUGCCAAUAUCGCGUUCCACGUCACCACAUCACGCGAUCGUGGCCAUUCAUCGAAGACCCUCCGCGAGCUAGUUAUCUCCCCACACGAGCCGUAGAAGUGGAUCAACGCGUUCCUCACGUACAGAUCCCCAUCGAGCCCGAGCCGCACCGCGUGGGCGUGGACCUGGGCGCCCUCGCGGAGGAGCGCGGGGGCGACGCUACACGCUUGGAGGAGGAAGGGGAAGGUGUAGUUGUUGCUGGGGACGCCGAGCCUCCGCGCGCGGCUGUAGAAGGCGAGGGCCUCGCGGGACGCGGUGCGGCUCCGUGCGAAGCACCGGAUGAGGUUGUUCGCGGCGAAGGCGGUGGGGCGGUCGAUGGAGGCGAAGACGGCGCGCGCGUAGACGAGCGCGGCGGGCGCUGCGGCGACUACGGCGGCGGCGGCGGCGGCGAGGAGGAGGCGCGCGGCCGCGGCGCGGGAGGAGGCGAGGCCGAGGACGACUAGGCGCGCGUGGGCUUGGAGGAUGUGGGAGAGGGAGGGCUGGGUGGGGAGUCGGGAGAGGGUUUCGCGGAGGAGGUGGUGGGGGUCGAGGGUUGGAGAAGAGAGGGAGAGGGCGUGAGAGGGGCGUGAAGGGACGCGGAGGGGGAAAAGCGAGAACUCAAACCGCAUCAAAUGAGAAAUGGUGUGUGUGUUCAUACGCCAGGCUUUCCGUAUGGAAGAGGAGGAAGUAGUUUCGUAAUCGUGAAUCAGUGAGUUGAACCCGGUCCGGUCCGAUAAAAAAUAGACGGGUUCGAUUAGCUUCGGUUCGGUUUGGUUGGGCUAAAAUAUAACAUAGAAAAGGAAAGGAAAAAACAAAAGAAAGCUAAUCAAAUGAAGUGAAGACGUUGAAUCUAUUUGGCAAGGAAACUGGCCACCACAUAAUACAGAAGCUUAUCUUCAUAUAUUAUUACCUCAUCCAGGUCCAUGUUCAGAGUAACCACCUCACCGACUAUGCCUCUCGCGACUGUUUCGUCCUCUGCCGUCUCGUCUCCGCCGCCGUUGCCACAACCGAACCGCUUUCGAGCCCGACGGCCAAGCCUAGUCGUAGUUUGUUGCAAAUUGGGUUCAGUGAAUGCCGCAGAGAGCGGUGGAAAAGACGAGCUGACAAUAGGGUCUCCGAUCAUCGUGGUUGUGGCUCCGCCGACGCUGAAGACGGCGAGCUCCAUGCCGUCGCUGAGGGUCAACUCCGGGCUGGUCAAGCCCGGCGAUGUAGGAAGGUAUGUUAAAAACAACCUUACUGUUUGUUGUAAGGUGUUUUAACCCACACUCAAUGCUAAACUUUUCUUCUGAAAUAUUUCUCUUUGUACCUAUGGGGCAACAGAUAGAUGUUUAGCAUCAGCAGAGUUUCCUGAAGCCCUGAACACAAACCACAAACUUACAAUUACUGCGCUCUGCCUCUUCCCUUUUUUUGGUUUUCCUUUUCCUCUUCUUUUCCUGAUCGUACUGCCAGUAUACAUGCUCUGUUUUUGAUAAUUGAUGCAGUAAGAGAAAUAUUACAUACACUCAAAUUUUAGAACAGGUGCUGAUACAUGAUACUGCAGAAUUGUGGCAAGGAAGCCUAAAGACGUCUGGGCCGUCCGCCUCGCGAUUGGUACAUACCUCAUUGAUGGCAAGCACUUCAAGCCCUUGGAUGUCGACGAAUGAGCAAGAUACAGGAUGGUCCCAAAGACAAAGAUUCGCGCACAAGUUGCAGUUUUCACUUUGUGUUCACUAAAUUGGCACAUCUGAAAAUUUUGUAACCAUCAGUAUAUAAGAAAUAUAAGGCAGGUUUUUUUAAUCAAAAGGUUUCACAGCAAUUGCAACAGGUCAAUCUGCUCAUUCUCUGCCUAGGAACAUUAGCAGCUUUCAUUAAUUAUGAUGCAGAAUAUAAAACUAAACAUAGAAAACAGAUAUUACAUCAAAUUGCUCCAAGUGGAACUUAGAUAUCUGCAGUUCUUGUUUUCCAGUCUGCAAAGACCAGUAAGGCAACGGUAGGAAAGGCGGUAGUGAAAACCUUUUGCCCGCUGUAGUUUCAAACCUGCAGAAAUUUUAAGUUCUGGAAAUAGGGGAAAGAGCAAGAAACAAAGAAUGCGCCUCAACUCGUCUAGAGAAACAAAAAUGAUCGCAUAACACACGCAGAGUUUACCUUACAAAUAAAAUAGCAUCCGAUAUGCUUCCACAAAUGAGUCAAACGACGAAAGGAAAGAAAGACCAGUGAGAAGAAACAACAAUACACCAUAAAGCUCCUAUUUUUAGGAAACAAACAAAUAUAUAUUGCACAUAAGAAGGAACAUUUUAUUGUAUAGGUAUGAUUUACAGCUGGCCCAAGCUAUCCACCCUUGCUCCAUGGCUUUAAGACGGCCACCACAAUGAUCACGACAAUUAGGAGAAGGAUAAUGAUGGCUAUGCACAUCCACUUGCGAGAAUUCUUUUGCAGCUUCUUCGCCUUCUGGAGAGCGACUGUGCCAUUUUGCACAUGGUCGAUGGCACUAGAGACCUUCAAAGGAGAAGGCAUAGAAAAGUAUAUACAAAGUUAAGUAGAUGCACAACAAUUUGAAGGCAUAGAAAAGAUACUAACAUGCAUUACAUGCUAAUUCUUACCUGGGAUUCGAUGUUAUCCAGCAUAUCUCCUUGAGCCUCAACCAAGACCGCCAUAUCGAGAAAUAUCUACAUCGGAAUUCAAAAAAAGGGUAAUAGUAGGACACAAAAUGCUCAAAGUAAAAUUAUAUCUACACCUUGAAGAGCAUUAACAAAAGAAAAAACAACCAUCUAGAGAGGAGCGUUUAGCCAUAGGUCAUAAAUAAGAUUAUGGAGUAAAUGCAUAGUAAUGACAAGAGACAGGUUGGGUCCAAUCAUUUUAUUACUAAUCAAAAUAUGUACUUGCGAAGCAAUCAUUUUAUUACAAACUUUAGUUCCAAAAAUGUUCCUUUGAUACCUCAAGAUUCCUCGAGUCAUGAUUAUAGUUAGUUAUUCACCUAAAAAUUUCAAAGUUUGCAUGAACAGACCUACCUGUUGCAGUUCAAGAAGCUUUCUCUCUAAUUCCCUUACAGUGUCAUGACGUUCCUGUAUUUCGGCUAAGGUGUCCAUUACCUGCAUUAAACCAAAAUGGGUAUAUCAUUUGUAUCUAGAUGUAUAGAUUGAGAUUCGGAAUGACUAAACAUGAGAAAAUUGUUCAUAUCAAAGAAGUCUUAAUCAGUCAAUAUUCACAAAGAGAAAUGCAAUCAAACAAAAACAAACCUGACCACGUCCUUGAAUAGCAUUCUGAAAGAUCUGUUCACUAUUUCCUGUCUCUAUCAAUUGGUCGAUAGUCUGUAUGCCAAAAUUUCAAAAAUAAUGAAUUAUAAAAGUUCAAUUAAAAUCUCAACUGUUUAAAUAUUAGCAUGGGAAUGAGCCUACCUCUUCGUCAGCUCGAGUGCCAGUUACUGUCAAUGACCAAUUGAAAGAUGAACAGAAAGAAAAAGAAAAAAGUCAACCUUACUAGGAAUGGAAGAAACAGUGAAUUCUAAAUAAUACAAUGAUUCUUUUCAUCUUGAAACAAAAACAGACCUGUAAAGACUCUUCUUUCAACAACUUCUCUGUAUUCUUGAUGGAUGGUUUCCCUUAGAGACUGCACACCAAAUUAAGCAAAUUAUAAUUUAUUAAACAAACAUUUACUCUAUUAAAAGACAGUGGCAUCUAACAUCAUUAUCAUUAGUGUGUCUUCCAUUAUUAAAAUUAGAGUGUCUUCUGUCAGUUUCUCCCGUUCUUACAUGACACCUCUGUAUUGUCAAAUUCAUCUUUUUAUUGUUCCCUAUUUCCUGUUGAAUCACAAUAUGGAUUUCCUUCUUCUCAACUACCUUGUGCCAUGUAUACUUUCCCUUCUUGAUUGUUGCUAUUAUUCAAAAAAAUUGUUUAACUAGUUCGCAUUAAUUUGUCUGCAGCCCGCAUCAAAAUUGCUAAAUAAGCUAGUAAAGAAAAAUCAAUUAUUCACUUUGAUAUAUUGUUUUACCUUCUCUCUUAUAGAAGGCAACUAAAUGUUUAAAAUUACAAUAGAAUGCAGUAGGCAUAAAUUAAGAAACCAUGAAUAAGACCAACCCAUACACCCUAACCCGAUUAAUUGAAACCAGUUAAAUUGUUUUCUUGAAAUCAUUGAAUGGAGAUAUUACCUGAAAAUCAUCCAUCCUCUCUUUUAGUUUCUUCUUCAAUGCUCUGCAGACCAUCAAAAAUGUGAUCUCAUAAGGUUAUUGUAAUAAAAGAAAGGAAAAAAAAGAAAAAGAAAAGCAGAAUGAGGUAAACCAGAAUGUAACUUACACAGUAUUUGACGUUCGCAAACGAUCUACAGUUGAACCCUUGCCACAUCCUUGCUUUUGUCUAUUGCUUAAAUUCUGCUUAAGAAAACAUGAGUGAAGUUUGUGUGAUUAAAUUCAUAAGUUGGAGGCUUGAAAGGUCAUGGGGCUCACAUUCACUCAUGUCAGAAAAAGAAAAGAAGAGAAAGAAUGUUGGAUUUUAUAUUAUAGCAUUUUCAUAAAGAAACCAGUAACAUAUAAAGAGAUAACAAAAAAAGGCUAUCCAAAUAGAGGAUUUUAAGCAGCAAAAAUUAAGCUUCUCAUAUUACGUCGUUAAACGCUCAGGCAAUUCGAUGAGAAGUUAAAAGAAAAUUUCCUUUUAUAGAUAACAGGAAGGAAAUAUGAAACACUCAACUCUACAAAAACCAAGAAAGACAAAAUCUAAAGACAAAUGAAACUUGACCAUUAAGAACAAGUUAAACCCAUAAUUCAACGAAAAAAAAAUAUCAUACAAACUGCUAUUCAGUUAACCUCACAGGCAUAGAAAAGUUGAAUCUUUUCUAUGUUGCCACUCAGUUCAACUUCCAGACACUUUGAAUCUGCAUUUUCAAAAACUUGAGAAGAGUCUUGAAAAGUCCUUUACUAUGUUGUAACUACUCUAAAACUUAUGUGAUUAGAUUUAAAAGUUAAAAAACAUACAUCUUUGUCCAGCUCUUCAAGCUUUGACUUUGCUAGACGAGCAAUUUUACCCACUUCGUCAAUAUCUUUUUCCAUCCGCUGCUUGAUUGCUAAAAUCAAAGGCAUGCUUAACAGUGAUUAUUAUGUCAUAAAAUGGUCAGAUAAUUGUACAUACCAGAUAUGUAAAAAGAACAAAAGAAGAUAUGAAUUACAUGCAUAAUCAAAUUCACUUACCUUUCAUAGCAGCCGCCUUUGUAACAGCCUUCGACUCCUCAUUUGCAGUCUGCAAGCAAAGGCAGUAGGUUAAUUUCCAAAAUACAGCAUUAGCAUUGUAGGUUAAUUUCCAAAAAAGCAUUAGCAUCACUUCAACUGAAGAGAAAUUCACUAGAAAGUAGCAACUCCAGAACCAAAAGAGCAAUUGGGUAAACUAUAGUAGUUAUGCAAGCAAAUUCUGGUAAGAUGGUGAUCGAAUAAUUGGAUGCCCCAUAUUCCCAGUCAUGCCGCUGUGGCACUCCGCCUAAUGCUAGACUCAACAAAGUGUUUCUGAUGCAUACUUCCAUAAAAGGAAAUUAUAAGCAAAGUGUUUCUGAUGUAUACCUGUAAUUUCUUCAACAGCUUAGAGAGCUUGUCAAUUUGUUUCUCUAUCUCUUGAACCUAAAGAAAAAGAGAGAAUUAUUGAGCGAAUAGAAGAGGUGAUAUUUGUGUAUAAUGCAUCAGACAUAUUUAAAACCUGCUUGAAGAAAUCAUCCAGUCCUAAUUCUGCAGUAUUUUGUUGGGCCUGCCCUAAUUCAAUGUCUCCGCCUCUUGACGUCUGGCCUCGAGGGAGCUCGAAGGAAUCCUGCCAAUCGAUAAAGUUUAUAAAGAAGGAUACAACAUAUAUGAGUAUAUUGAAGUUAUUCUGUGAGAAGAAGACAACAUAUGAUUUCAAACAUCCAUAAAGAUUCUUUCCAUUUGGUGAUAUUUACAGAGCACCAUAACGCCCCACCAAUAGGAACGAAGAAAAUUAUCUACAACAUCAUGCAAUGCGAAGGAUUUAUGCUUAAGCAACUCAUGGAUCAUUGCUCAAGUGACAGUGUGAUACUUCUAUCACUUCAAUUAUAAUAGCAGUUAAAAAAAAAAGCAGGCAGGCUUCUGCAAUUGAUAAUCAUCCAGAAGUACGAUUUAAAUCAGCUGAUAAAUGUGCUUGCAUGACGUUUCCCUCUGGAGAGAAUAAUUUUUCCCAUUGACUGAUUAGAUUAAAUCCACAUAAAACUGUCAAAUGCAUUGCUCGUUUUCUUGUAUUCUUGCCAAACCUCAAAAGUAUUGCUUUUUUUUUUUCCGAUAAAUCCAUCACCGGUAGAGAUUAUUCUGCAUGGAAAUCGAGCAUCCUGAAGUCUAAAAACAUUGUCAGAACAGAAAAAAGAUAAGUUUUAUGGGCUCAUAAGAAGAUUCCAUUAAAUCAAAGGAAUUGCCGAUCAAGCAUUCUUGAAAUUAAAGGCCGCGAGAAGUUAUAAUAUUAGGUUUAUUCACAAAAAUAAUUCCAUCAGUCCUCAUCAAGUACUCCGUUGUUCCAGAUUUUAAAGAAGCCACGAAAACAGGGCCAUAGAACACUAAAAGUUCACGAAUUAGACAAUAUACUCUUUUUUGUUUGUUGUCCCACAUGCGAUUCACCCAGCGAUCUUUUCUUGUUCUUAAAUCAAAACUUUCCCAUCCCACUAUUACUCACAUGAUCUCACCAUAUCCCCUUACGAGUUAAGCUAAAUCAAAGUUAAAAGACUCUUCAAUCGGAGACUAAAUCCAGUAACAACAGUGCAUCUCUUUCCCAAACUCCGCUACUUUACAUAGCUCAAAUACUAAUCAAUCCCCCAAAACACCAUCACACAGCAAAAUGACGCGGAAAUCCCACAAUCUACUCACCAUUACAAUCAAACACCAGCGCAUGAUCAACAAGAAACAUGAAAGCAUCACAAAAACCAAAAUAAAUCGAAUCAAACACUUAGGGGCAACGAUUCAUGGGUCGAUGAAGUUACCGUUAGGAGAUUAUUCAUCUUCGAGGUGGCGAGAUCUCAACCGGGGUAGAUCGGAAUGACGAGAUCCCAAACUCGGAUCUCCGGAUCGAAUUGAAUCCGAGGAAUCGACGAAGAGAUCGACGCGGCUUCUUGGACACGGAAGCGGCAAAGAGAAGGGGUUUCCAACUGGGGAAGGAGCGGAGAGAGAGAGAGAGAGAGGAGAGAGAAAAGUGGGCUUCUUUCGCCGCAGGAUGAGAGAGAGAGAGAGAGAGAGAGAGAGAGCGCUCCGAACGGGAGAGAGGAGUGAUUAAGUUGUUACCUCGCAUCGACGUAUAUUAACCGGAGCCCUAAAAUAAUUAUUUCGGAGGGUGGGAGUGGUGAUGUUAUUGCGUAGACCGUGGUCCACCGUGGACCGGUCUCUGAAACUCAAUGCUUUUUUUGAGAGAGAGGUAGCACGCUACCCGCUUCGUUUAUUUCAUUUAGAAAUAAACUUAGCUAGAAAUAUGAAUCAACUAGGAUUUUUAUGUACUUAUAUACUUUUUAAAGGUGAUUUUUCAUUCCUAUACUUUUUGAUAUAAUCGCUUUAAUUUCUAUACUUUGAAGUACAUAUAACACUAUAAUCUUUGAUCAUACGAAAGAAUUUAAGUUAGUUUGAUUAUAAAAAAAAAAAUUCUUGUUUGAAGCAAACUAAAACCAUAGUCACUUUACAACUGCAGUAAUAAAAUGGCCAUCUUACAAAAAAAACUAUUUUUUUAUGAUUAGAAAACAUGUUGUAAUAUAUGAAAUUUAGACUCUUUAAAAUGGUUAAGUGAGAAGUACAAGAGCCAAGCCACAAUAUUGGACUAUUAGACAAAUUACUUUAAUAGUUUAUCUAUUUACAAAAUUAUAAUAUUCUAUGUAUAAAUUUAUUUAGAUAUUAUAAAUUGCAUCAGACAGUUAAAAAAAAUAUGAGCAAGUACAUAAAUUAGUUUGUUUUGGAGCCUGUUAGUUUUGGAUUGCAGAAGAUGCACCUAGUAAUUAAAAUUCUAUGAUAAUGUUUUCCACAUUAAAAUCUAAUUUAUUAAAUAUAUUAUGUAACAUUCAAUAAUUUUAUAUAUACAAAUUAUAAAUUUUGAUGUAUGAGAAUAUUUACAUCUCAUAAAUUAAAUAAUUGUGCUUUCUCCAUCAUUCGUUAUUAAGUUACUUGAUGUCUUAAUAAUAGAUAAAUAAAUCUUGUAAAUUUUUGUGCAGAACCUUCGUGUGUAUAAAUGUUAUCUAUUAAUCAUCAAAAAUUAUAUAUGGUGCAUGAACGUACGGAUACACCUGGUGCAGGCAACAGAUACUAAUCUCUCCUGGGGAUGGGACCCACGACCACCGGGUCCAAGCUGGUACACGGCUCGGUGGGACGCACGAUGGGCGCCUCUCAACGCCUCGUGUGUGCAUAAACAAGUGAACAUUUCCAUUAAUCUAGAUAAUAAUAAAAAUAGGCUAGAAAUUGUACUCGUAGUCCUCAAACUAUAGAUUACAUCACAAUUUAUUUUUCAAAUUUAAUUUAUUAUAAUUUUAAAUAAUAUUAUAAUUAAAUUUAUAAUUUAAUAUAGUUGAUGAGUUACUGAUGUGUGGCUAUUGUGAUAGUUAUACGCCAUCUAAAUUAUUAUUAUGCCAUUAAUUAUACCCUUGAUGUAGUACCGCAAUGUAAGAAUAUAUCAGUAUUUAGUCGAUUAAAUUAAACUGUAGAACUUAAUUACAACUAUCUAAAAAGUUCUGAGCCAGAGAACCAAAAUAUCAUGUGCUCAUAGUUUGUGGAUCAUAAGUGUUAUUUAGCUAUAAAAAUAUAAAAAGAAAAUAUUAAUUAAAUUUGAUGUAACGAUCCGACCAGCCAAUAAUAAUAACUCGUCGGGUCUAAACAACCGGUCCUAAAUACUUACUAGUGUGUAGGGCUCAUAUAAACUGAUUGGAACCAGUAUCUCAUCUUAUGAUGUGCGACUAUUGGGGCGUUACAAGCUCCCCCUAUAGGCCUCAUAUAAAUUGAUCGGAAUCAGUAUCUCAUUCGAUAUGGGACUAUUGGUGCGUUACAAUUGACUACUAUAUAUAAAUAUAUAUAUAUAUAUGAUCACUUUAUAAAUAAUCUACUCUUUUACACCAAAUCUGUGAUGUAGACUUCGCUAAAUCUAAAAUUUAUUUGGUAUUUAAUUGAAAAAGUUAUGGACCAUGCGCCAUAAUUGUCUACAUAUAUACCUCUUCAAAAUUAUUUUUCCCAAGAAAAAGAAAAAAAAAUCUUUUAUGUACCUAGGACCUCCAUAAGAGUGGUUGUAUCAGUUUGGUGAGUUUUGGUCAAAUCUGUUUAUUCAAUUCUAGCUAUUAGUACAAUUCUUAUUCCUGAUUUCUGAUGCAUACAGAUUGGAAUAAUGUUUGAGUUACAUGUGCAUCAUAGUUUAGAAUAUUUAAUUACAAUCACAGAACAAAAUUUGCCAAUUAUCUAAUAAUGUAAUUCAGGUAAUUACGCUUUGACCGUGAUAUAAUUAUUUGAAAAUUUCUCGUCAAAUUCGGAAAGGAUUGUCCAGAAAAUGAUUAAUUUUUUUUGGCGCAACCUGGAACAACUGGGAACAUGUAUAAUCCUUUGAUCGUAAAAUUGAUCUCUAUUUAUAGAAGAAAAAGAAUGAAAAAAAAAGAAAAAAAAGAAAUGGUCACCGAUAUCUGAUCACAGGUACUACAAGUCACCGACGAGAAUUAAUGUAGCCAAUAACAUGAUAAAUUAACAAGAUGCAAGCAAUUACGCACAUAUGCAUAUCGCCUCGCUCUUAAUUCAAUUUAUAUUUUAAAAAUGAGAACUUUUGAUUUAAGAGAAUUUCUAGAUUAAUUUCAGUUCUAGGUAUCCUAUUCAAAAUGUGUACCAUUCCUUAUAAGAAGGCAUGAUCUUAUACAGACUCUUGUUUUGCAAAAGCUUGACUUUUUUUUUUUUUUUUAUCAAUAACGAAUUUAAUAAAGAUGCAUUGUGAAAUUGUGGAUCUGUUCAUAGAUGUCGAACAUAGAAAUACAGUUCACCAUUUUUUUAACAAACUUAACUUAUUUGCCCCUCCCACCAACAAAAAAAGAUUAACAAUAAUAAUGACAAUAAUCUAUUCUCAAAAAAAAAAUAAUAAUGACAAUAAUCAUACAACAACAACAUCGUACAUGUUUAAUUAACUACAAAUCACCCCUUGCAAUAAGGGUGUUGAUGCUAGAGUCCAGAGAUAAACCAUAUUAUGGGUAGAAAAUNCAGGUGUUUGUUUUAAUUUUAUUUAAUUUUUUGGAUUAUAUAUAUAUAUAUAUAUAUAUAUAUAUAUAUAUAUAUAUACAUCUAACUGUGAAAUGUCAUGAUACGUCGCGACAAUUAUCGAGUAAAUAUUCUUUGAGCACCUAAUGUUAAGCUAUAAACAUACAACAAUGCGAUUAACUUCACUGUCGAAUAUGAACAUAACCCACAAAUAUGAGUUGCCACCCCUAACUUCUUGUAACAUAUAUAUAUAUAUGAAGUGGCAAAUGACAAUGCGCAAGGAUAUAAACUUUUGAUUUAAAAUAUACACCCCAAAUCAUUACUAAGUAAGAAUAUUAAACUCCCAGUAACCAAAGAAUCUGCAGAAAAUCUCAGAAAAUGGAUUCUGUAAAACGCUGAAAAAUUAACAUAUAAAUUAAGGGUGAGUGAAAGAGGAAGUUCUCCAAUAUAUUUAUAUGCUGCCACUUUGCGCCAACCAUAAAAAGAAGAUUAUAUCUAAUUAAGAUCUUGUACAUAUAGUUGGAAUAUAUGCAGUAUAUUAUAUAUCAAGAAUAAAGAAUAAAAGAAAUGUCGAAAACCUGCAACAGUGCAACACUACAAUAUUAACUAGGCAAUAUUGCUUUCAUUCACGUAAAUUAGAAAUCCGAAAAUAUUACUAAUUUUUUCGCCAAUGUAAAGAUGUGCACAUACAAGAUAUAUUAGUAACUGUACUACUAAUAAUAAACAGCUAAAAUCCACAUAAUAAGCUAUAAGAAACUUCUGAAGAUUUUCUAUCCAAUAAAAAGAUAAAACCAAAGCCUACUUUUAGACCAUUAAAACAUCAUUUAAGGAAGAACAUAUUGGAAAAGAGGAACUACUGCUCUUUAGCCAUUGAAACUAUUAUCGUUAAACGGAUGAUGCGCAGAGAGCAGAAAUAGCUUACAUUAUUUUACCUGUGAGAGUUAUCACCUGCUUAUUUUUCUUUUUUCUUUUCCGCGAAAAUAUCACUUGCUUUAUCAUUGUAUAGGAAGCAAGGUGUGAGGAAUGAAGCCUGGUCCGAGAUCCAUUCCUAGAUUUCGUACAAAACCUAUAUAUAUAUUGAGAAUCCCUAUUUCAUAUAUAUAUAUAUAUAUAUAUAUAUAUAUAUAUAUAUAUAUAUAUUUCAUAUUAAAGACUAUCAUAACAGGAUCUUGGAUCAAACCUCAUUCCAAACACACACUCUCUCUCUCUCUCUCUCUCUCUCUCUCUCUUGUGCACCAGGUGUAAGUCAUUGAUCAUCUAGUGAAUNCAAUGAUUUUUCAAUCAACACCACCAAAGCCCUAGGGCCACAAGCCUCGAGAGUAAACAAAGGAUGUGUUGUUGGUAGUUAAGAAGAGUGAGAGCAUCAUGGAUAUUAUAAUAAGGCUAAAGUACACGUUGGACACAGGUCACUUGGGGGGCAUAAACAGUGGAAAAGAAAUGGGUCUUAUGAAAAAUAUUAUGUUCUCUUCUACAUGGACUUGAUUCUUUAUGGGAGUGAGAGUGCUAAGCUUUUACAGGCUAUGUAUGUCUCCUAGGAAAGAGCACCCAAAACUACUCAAAGAAGUACUAAUAACAUGGGAAAUGGUGAGGGCAUGGGAAGAAGCUGGGAAUGAAAGGAGAGGAGCCCUUCAUUGGCGGAUUUUUAAUAUAGAAAAAAGAUACUUGGUGAACAAGCUAUUUGUGGAAUAUGAGAAAAAGCAAAGGGAAUCUAAGCAUGAUCUCCGCAAGGUAAAGACAAGUAACAUGUUAUGCAUAAAAGACCAUGAAUAUAUAUAUAUACAUAUAUAGAGCACAGCAUGCAUGCAUGCAUCAUAUAUCAAACUCAUCCUCACUAUAGUAAGAAGUACAUUAAAAAAAAAAAAGGGACCGACUGUACCUAGAGUAAGUGGCAAAGAGCUUGGUGGUUGGUAUCCGAGACAGUUCGAAUCCUAGUUAAUUCACAUUUCUAGCUAAGUUUAUUUCUAAAUGAAAUAAACGAAGCGGGUAGCAUGCUACCUGUCUCUCAAAAAAAAAAAAAAAAAAGGGGAUGGUCAGGUGAUAGUGGUUGUGUCAUGUGUGGUGCUGACCUGGAGACUGUUGAUCAUUUGUUGGUGGGCUGUGUCGCCAGCAAAUUUCUUUUUAUUACGCUCCUCGACGAGCUUCAUAUCUUCGCUUCUUGCGAUGACAUUAUUGCCGUGUGGGAUAGGCUACUGGGAAGGGGAUUGCAACCCGACUCUUUAAAAGCUCAAAUUUUGGUGGCAGCCUUAUGGUGGACAAUCUGGCGCGAAAGAAAUAACGUCAUUUUCAGAAACCUAUCUACGGAUGUUAUCAAUACAACUCAGCGUAUUGGAAUCUUGGCUAAGGAGUGGAUUGAGUUUUGCUGAGCAGGACGACCUCGGCAAUGUUAUAUUCUUUUUCUUACCACUUGUCUCUUCUUAAUUAGUUUUUAUUUUUAGUUGUCUUUCUGCUCUUGUCUGUUCUUAUUCUUGACUUUUCGCUUUCCCCGAGGCCUUAGCUGCCUCACUCCAUGUAGCUAAAUUCAUUUUCCUAAUGAAUGAAGUAGGUAGCGUGCUAUCUUUCUCUCUCAAAAAAGAAAAAAAAAAAAGAAGAAUUUCUAAUGACACGAAAAGCUAAUGAAAUGAGAUUUUUAAAAAGGGGGUGAUAUUAUUGAUUUAUUGCCAAUUUGGUGUUAACUACAAUAAGCUAUCAAUGGUAAUUAACUACUGAAUACGAAAACUUUCUUUAGUGAUUAUAAUUUAGAAGCUUGCUUUUUAUUCGCUAUUAUGAAGUUCCAAGUUACGAUCGAUAUUUAGAUUAAUAUAUUCUACUUACAAGAAAAAUAUGUUUUAUUAUGAGAGUAAAUAUUCAAAAAGCGUAAACUUAAUUACUAUUCAGUGAGUACUCCAUUUGAUUAAACUCGUUGUGUUUAAUCAAUGAAUGGUGCAAAAUAUGCCUGUGAAAUAUCGUAACUCUUUUCAAAGCUAAAAAGGAAAUUUCAAUCCAAAACUUUUAUUUUUCUUCCAGUACAAAGUUCUCUCUAUAUAUAAUUAUUUCUUUUCCAAACCAAAUUAAUUAGUUCUAAAACUUCGGCAGUGCUACAUCUAAUUCAGGCGUAACUCAAGUGUAAGUGUGUAACCCAUGUAUAUAUUUAUGGAUUUUUGAGUACUAUAAGAUUAUGAAUCUAUAGUACAAAGUCAUUGCACCAAUUGUCUCUUCAUAGGUCCCCUCACUUUUUUUCUUUGUUUUUUUUUAAGAAAAGCCAAUAAACUCGGUGCGAUCACAUGUGAACUUAUUUAAACAUAGCCAAGCAUCUAAGUGUGUGUUUGGAUUGGAUACAAGAAAGGGAAUAAGAGGGUUAUUCCCUCUUUUAUACCCAAACACAAAUUUGGAGGUGGUGAAACAAUUGUUCCACCCCAACCCGGUACAAGCCCUCUUGUAUCGGGUUGGGUUGGAACAAGUUGUUCCACCCCAACCCCUCGGGUAGAGAGAGAGAGAGAGAGAGAGAGAGAUUUUUAAUUUAAAUUUAAAUUUUUGAAAUUUAUAAUUUAGUUUUUUAAAAUAUAAAUUUAUAAUUUUAAAUUAUAAUUUUAAUGUUUAAAUUAUAAAUUUGAUAUUUUUAAUUUUUAAAUUUUAAAUUUAAUUUUUUUAGAUUAAAAAUUUAAAAUUUGAUAUUUUAUAUCUUUCAAAUUUAAAUUUGAUUUUAAAUUUAAAAUUUGAUAUUUAAAAUUUAAAUUUUAAAAAUUAAAAAUUUUGAUUUUAAUUUUAAAUUUUAAAAUUUAAAAGUUAAAAUUUUUAAUUUAAAAUUAUAAGUUUAAAAUUUUAAAUUCAAUUAUAGAGGUAAAAUCAUUAUUUUUUAUCUAUAACUACCAACUAUUCCACCUUAUACUCACAUUUUCAUACAAACACAAUUUUUCUAGUUCCAGCUUAUACCCACAUUUUCAUCCAAAUAAAAAAAUACCCUUGUUCCUACAAAAAUUCAUUCUUGUAUCUAUCCCCGGUAUAACUAGUUCUUGCUUAUACCCGAACCAAACGAAGCCUAAAAGAUUACGAGCCUUGUUUCGGCCAAUCUAAACCAACACACAACCCAUGGGGACAAAAAUUUUAUAGCUAAAAUGUAAAGACACCCACUAAACUUUAGUCUUUUUUGAUAUUGACCCCCUCAACUUACAAACUAUUUGAAUUAGGCCCUUCCACUACAACAAAAUUAGGUUAUAGGGACACAUGCUUGGGACACUUUUAUGUAAGUGUUCCAUUUAUACCAAAACUUUAAAAAAAUAUCUAUUAAUGCUUAAAUAUAAAGCCCAAUAUAACCAAAAUAAAAGGUUACUCUACUCAACCCACCCCACUCAGCCCAUUCGGCCCGAUUACAAACAGAAAAGAAAAGAAAAAAAUCGAUUACCAUGUCCCCUUCUCCCCUAACUCAAUCCACUGAAAUUCUAGACGAAGAAUCAUUCCCUCUCAUCCUCCUCUGCCACCGGAGCCAACGAGGUAGAGUUUCAGAGGUUGCUUAAUGCUUAAAUAAGUAUUAGUAAAUUAGCAGCAUUCUUUUUAGGUUAUAACGAUAUUCUUUAACUGUCACUAUAUACCUAGCGACCCCACAUAUAGCAACACUCUUUAAAAGUGUCGGUAAUUUAGCCAGCAGCACUUUUUUUGACAUGUACCGACAUUUAAAAGUGUCGCUAUAGACCGUUUUUGUUGUAGUGUUCUAUUGGUAAUUUUGAUUUUUUUUUUUUUUUAAUCAACUACUCAUAAGAGAUGUACAUGAUCAAAAAUUGCUUUGAUAAAAAAAUAAAGAAAGCUUGACCUACCAAAAAAAGAAAAAUGCAGCAUUCUUAAACUACAAGAUGGUAAACUGUAAAUAUGUUUAGUAAUAUAGGUCUAAGCAUAUUGUUUUAUGUAUUAUUAAUAUCCUGACAUUCAAAAUGCAAAAGUUUUUCUAUCAGUUUGUACAUGCAAUUUAAUUAUAGUAUAUAUAGUUACUAACAUUUUAAUAAUUUGUAUAGAAAUUAUAUAUUAGAAGAUCUAAAGUGUAUUUAUUCUGCAGACCCCAUGAAUCAAAUAAUUGAGAAAAGCAACAUUUGGGCUUUUGGAAAGAGAUUCUACUAUAUAUCAGUCACACCGCAUCAUCUAUUAACAGUCAACAAUAUCUCUCCUUUUGAGUUAAAAAUAUAAUAAAAAUAUUUUUCUAAUAAUUAUGAUGGGACGGGUGAACCAAAAAAAAUAAUCUAGUUAUUGGUGACAUUACACCAGUAAUAUAACUGAUGCAUUUUAGAUUUUUUCGCUUUUGGAGCCCCACCUACCUUCUAUCCCUCUGUCUGUGUUGAGUACUCCUAAGGCCAGUGUACCUCAACAAUAUGGCCCGUGAGUGUCCCGUUUGGUAAUAUGAUCGAAAAAAAUAAGAAGUCCGGAUGAAAGGAUGUUGUUUAUGAAAAAAAAAAAAAAAACUAAAAUUUUAUUAAUUCACAAAUAAUAAAGUUUUGAUGGUUGGAAACUACAAGCCUUUUGGUUUAGAUUUUUCUCUGGGACUUGACUUUUUUGAAGCACGCUACGUUCAAUCGCUUGAAACAGAUCGAACUUGGAUUAUCCGAACUCGUUCAUCUCUUAGCUAACAAUUGAAGCGCCAUGAAAACUCGAAAUCUUAGUUUGAUCUUACAAAUGAUAGAAACCUCUAGAAAAGGAAUUCUCUGAACUGCUACCACCAAAGCUAAUUACUGGUAACUAAAAACUGCUAAAACUACUACUACUUGAAAUUGCCAAAACUACUCUGCAUUCAACCUGAGUACAAAAGCUACUACGUACUACUACUCCUUGCUUGAGAGAAUUGGUGUACAUGCUAUUGUUUGUGUUAAAAAAUGGACUCCUUGUAUUUUUCAGUGAGAUCACAGAAAUCGUAUCUAACAGCAUCAGCGCUAUUCAAGCAACAUGUAAUUUUUACAUAAACAAAUAGAAUAUUUUUUCUCACACUUUUCUACCACAACCUAAGGUAUACUUUAUUGACCGUCCGUAGCGCAAGUGGUAAAUGACUUGAUGGUUGAUAUUUGAGAUUUCAAAUUUGAAACCUAAGAGCUUUAUAUUUUCAAGUAGGGUCAUUACCUAAAAAAAUGAACGAAGUGGAUAGUAUAUUACUAUUUCCUUUUAAAAAAUAUAAGGUGUACUUUCCAUGCAUGUCCUAGACUUAAAUAAUUUGUUUGGUGUGGUUUGACUUGAUUUGUAAAUGAUGAACUAAGUAAACCAAAAAAUUAAGUUAGCUGGCUUGUACAAUAUUACUGCAAUACAUAACCAAGAUAUUAGCCAAAUUGAAUCAAAUUAUUUUUUAUUCGAAUCUGUAAUUCUUUCUUUUUUUAAAAAAAAAAACAACUAAAACUUAGUCCUAGUCUAAGUUAGAUACAGGUAUGGUGAGAUCAUAUUUAAGUUGGGGAAAGAAGUAAAUAAUUAAGCCCACAAAGAGUUUAACAACAAGUAUACAUCAAUCAUGAAGAAAGGAAUUUAAACAAAAACUCAAGAGUGCAAACCAUGCAAAGAACCUUUCCCUUUCCUUGCACUUCUUAGGAGGAGAUCCAAAGAGUAAAACCCCUCACUCUCAUAAUCCAACAAAAGAAUAUAAUUAUUCUCUCCUUAUUGAUAUCAAUUCAUGCAUGACUAUAUAUAUCUCCAAACAAUCCCUCUCAACACUCAUCCAUUUCCAUUAAUUAUCAUUCCCCGACUUAAUUAAACAACCCUCAAACAAGGCUUUAUUACAAGAAAUAUAUUGAAGAGAGAGACCAAUCAUGGAUCCCACAAGGCGCAUUUAUGUAAAUUUUGAGCCCUCUUCUGAAAUUGUUCAAGGAAAAGACGAAGACACAGUUCUUGUAACUGUGCCAGGUUAGAUACUUAACCAUUAAUUGUUGUUGUCUUUGUUGUCAUCAUCAUUAUCAAUAUCAAGGUUAAUUUUACAGGUCAAUCCCGAUCUUUACCUGAUUUUUCAAUUGAGUUUCCAACUUUUUAAUUCUUUUAAUGCGCUCUUCAAUAUUUGUUAUUUGUUUCAGCAUCAAAUAAUAUUUGCUAUCUAAUUAAGCGCCAUAUUUCAUCGUAUGACAAUUUUUGUUUGAUUUGACUAUUGAGAAUAAGAGUGUUAAUUGAAAUAAAUAAUAAAAAUUUGAAAUUUGAUUGUGGGAAUUAGAAAAAAAGAAAAUUGGAAACUCCGGUAAAAUAUUUGAAAAAAAAAAAAAUUUUAAAGCAGCCGCCUUCUGCUGCUCUCGCUUUUCUAACUAGUCAGGUUGCUGAUGGCAACUGAAAAUUGCUACGUACUUGUCCAAAAUUUAUACAAAAUUUUAAAAUUUUUAAUAUAAAAAAUAAAAAGUGAUGAAAUUAGCAUGAAAAAGUAAUCGAUUCAUAGAUAAUAAAAAUAUAAUAUUUAUAUUUUACUUUUGAAUGUACGAAUAGUAUUGUUCACCGCGAUUCAACAUGUGCACUUUACGGUGCACACUCGUGCGAUAAUUACAUAUCAAGACAUUUUGGUCUGUCGCUCGCAAAGAGUAUUCUGGCUCAACUCGAUCCCUAUGUACAAUUUUAUUACAAUGGCCUGGCUACGAUAGUGCUGACAAACUGCGCCUUAACUCGCAGAUUUUAGGAGGGAGCAGCUGAAAGUCCAACUCAAUAGCGAGGGCAACCUGCGGAUCGUCGGUGAGCGGCCACUGGACGGCAACCGGUGGAGCCGCUUCUCGAAGGACAUCCGCCUCUCGCCAAACUACGACCUCGACCGUGUCCGGGCCAAGUUCGAGAACGGAACAUUGUAUAUAUCACUCCCGAAAAGAAUCCCUCCUGCAGCCAAAACGGCCGACGCUCCGCCGCCGCCGCCGCCGCCGCUGCCGCUGCCACGACCGCCGCAGCUCGAACGUAAGAAAUCUGAGGCCACGGAGCCGAAGCCGACCCCCCCGACGCCGGAGCCCCCACGUGAGAAGCAAGCGAAGGGAGAAGAGACGCAGCGCAUGCCGACGCUUAAAGAGAGAAUGCAAGAAGAGAGAGGCCCCGCGCGGGGGAAAGAGAAGGAGGAGGAGGAGGCAUUGGCAGCGACAGCGGCAGCGGCGGCCGGAGCGGCGGCAGCAGUGGCAGCGGUGGCGGCAGCGAAGAAGGAGGGCACAGAAAAGGUCGGCGGAAAAGCGGUGGAAGGGGAGGAGGAGGCGGCGGCGUUGGCGGCGGCAGUGGCGGCAGCGGUGGCGGCGGCAGCAGCAGCGGAGAAGAAGGAAAGCGUAGGCGGAAAAGCGGCGGAGGAGAAAUCGGGUGGCGGCGGCGGAGAGGAGGAGGCAGCAGCGGCAGCGGCAGCGGCUGCAGCGGCUGCGGAGGCGGCAGCGGCAGCGGCAGCCGCUGCAGCGGCUGCGGAGGCGGCAGCGGCGAAGAAGAAAAGGGAGGAGGGGGGAUUAAUGAUGGGGCUGGGGAGGCCGAGGAGGAGGAUGCUGAUGUUGAACGUGGCCAUGGCCGUGGUUGUGUUGGUUGGGUUGGGGAUCUACGUGAUUUUCAAACUGAGAAAGCCCGGUUCUGAUGAACAGAGCGAAUAAACUAGUUACGAUUUGCGCCUACUGGAAUUACUAUAUUGCGUGCUUCGUCGAUUGUGUAUAUUUGCAGAUAGAUGAAAAAUAAAAUGCGGAGGUGAUGCUGGGGCUUUUAAUUAAUUUCAUUCCUUUCAUUUCUUGCUUUUCACAGCUUUAUUCCAUAUAAUUGAACUUAUUUUUUUUAUAAAAAAAAGAAAAAAUGUGAAGAACAUGAAGCAUAGAAUAUUGUGUUGGGACCAUAUAUAAGUGGAUUUACUGGAGACGUAAAGAAUAGAAUAUAUAUAUAUAUAGUUGAGCUAGAAUACUAUCGAUAGCAAACGGGCUCCGUUGCAAUCCAUUUAUUUUCGAUGAUGGAGUCUCCAAAUCGACGAUCGACACCGUUGAAUAUGAUUUAUACCACUUGAAGUGUUUAGAAAUCAAAUUUCAUAUAUUUUCGAUAUUGUUCUUUUAUCCAUCGAGUGGACACAAAAAUGAACGGCUAAAAAUAAAUAUUCUUAAAAAAAUGAUGAUAGGAGUCUUAUAAUCAAGAUCAAGAGUAUAGAUCUCGUUUUAAAUAGUUUAAAGAAUUUUUUAACAAAAAUUCAAUUGAUUUGGAUAUCUUUACGCCGUUAAACGAGAAAACGCCUCAUAUCGACCAUUAAAAUUACAAAUUUGAAACCCUUUGAUCAUUAGGUAAAUGAUGUCAAAAAGAUUUGAAAUUUGAUUUCUAAACACCUCAAGUGGUGUAGAUCAUGUUCAACAGUGCCGAUCGUCGAUUUGGAGGCUCUAUCAUCGAAAACAAAUGGAUGGCAACGAAGCCCGUUUGUUAUCGAUAGUAUUCUAGCUCAACUCUAUAUAUAUAUAAAAAGGAAAAUUAAAGUGGGGAAGCUAUAAGGUCAGACGCGUUAUGUAAUUAUUAGAGGGCAGUUCCAUUGAAAAAUAUUUUUAUUUUCGUUGAAAUAAUUAGGUAAUCACAGUUUUAGAAAGGCACCAAUUAAUAAACUUGGUGGAGGAACUCUUCAUUUAAGAUUUUUCCUGAAAUCGAGCACAAAUGUUUUCCUCGACUUUUUGCUUAUUUUUAAUUUGAUGAUUUUCACUAAUUGAAUUUACACUGCUGGAUAUUUAAGAAAAAAAAGGGAAAAAAAAAGGGCAUGGGGAGAUUAUAUAAUUUGCAUUUGGGUGUUCCAUAAAAGUUUUUUUUUUUAAAAACAACGUAAAAAAUCUCAUGUGGUGAGCAGUGGGCCGUGGUAGGCCCAAAGGUACAGGGCCCUGCCCAACUAAAAUAAGAUGGGCCGUCCCACUCCCAACUCCCCCCAAUCUACAACCGAGGAAUUAUUGCGUUUGCAAGUUGAUGUCAAGCCACCAUCUUCUAGAAAAAUUCUAGAUGUGCCAGCUAUGUAUCUAAACGUCACGGACAUUGACACGGGACACGAGAUAAAAUACGACUCGGACACUGCAACUCGACAACUUUUAAAAAAUUAGGACACGGACAUGACAUGAACACUGCUAAUAAAAUAUAAUAUUAUUAAUAUAAUAAUAUAUUUUUAUUAUAUAUAACAUAUUAAUUUUGUUAAAAUAUUAUUAUAUUUUUCGUACGAAUGAAAGUUAAUAAAAUUUUUAUUGGUACUUCAUAUAUUUUAAGAAAAGAAAUUCUCCACUGUGCAUAAUUUAUUUAUAUUGUCAAAAAAAAUGGUAUGUAUUUAUAAAAAAGUUAAAAUAUUUAUCAUUUUAUAUUAUAUAUGUAUAGAAAAAGUAAAAUAAAAAUAGAUACAUAUAUUUUUUAGUUAUAUGCACUAUGGAUGGGCAUUAAAUGGGCGUCCAAAGAGUGUCCACAUCGGACACAUGUCCGACACGGACACGUGCGUGUCCGUGUUGGACACGCGAGGCUUACAGAAGUGUCCGUAAUACAUAGUUACAUAUCCUAUACGGCGUGACUGAACCAAUUACAAUUAUCUUCUAGGAUUAAUUCAUUCCAUUAUGAUUUAUAAAAAUAAUAUUUUUAUUAUAUUUUUCUUUUGAAAGAAGGUAUUUGAUUGGCUCUAUAUUGCUGACGUGAUAUGACUGCCACGCAGAAGACUUUCUCCCUCUUCUACAACUGUACUUUCGCUAUCUUUGGAUUCCAUUUAUCCUAUCUGUUCUUGACUCCAAUCAACUAUAGGGUAGCGUUUGGUUCGGGAACAAGUCUAACAGAGCGUUUGUCGAAAAAUUAUGAAAUUUAAUUUUUAAAUACUUUCAAUAAUAUAGAUCAAGUCUAAGGGAGUCGAUCGUCGAUUUGGAAGCCGCAGCAUUGAAAACAACUUGGUAGCACGGAGGCCUCCAUGCUACCAGAUUGUUUUCAAAUUAUUUAAAGUAUUUGAAAACUAAAUUUCAUAAUUUUUUGGCAUUAUUUACUUAUAAAACGAGUAGUCUAUAAAAUAAAGUAUUGAAAAUAAAAAUUUCGUAAAAAUGAUGAUAAAAUACUUGAAUUUAAGAUUAGAGAUACUAAUCUUUCUCUAAAUAGUGAAAAAAAAAUUAUAAAAAUUUCAUCAGAUUUAGAUUGUUUUACACCGUUAAAUUCGCAAACAUAUGACAUCGACCAUUAAAAUUAUCAAUUUGAUACCUUUUGAUCACUAGCCAAAUAAUGUCGAAAAAUUACGAGAUUUAGUUUCCAAAUACUUUCAAUAGUGUAGAUCAAGCCUAAUGAAGCCGAUCGUCGGUUUGAAAGCAGCAUCACUGAAAAAAACUUGGUAGCACGGAAGCCUCCGCAUUACCUGUAAUAUAGCAGUCUAGUUCUAUAUAUAUAUAUAUAUAUAUAUAUAUAUAUAUAUAUAUAUAUAUAUAUAUAUAUAUAUAUAUAUAUAUAUAUAUAUAUAUAUAUAGCAGAGCUGCUAUGCUCUCAGGAGCACGGAGGCCUCCGUGCUUCUGAGCCGUUUUCGAUGAUGGAGUUUCCGAAUCGACGAUCGGCUCCGUUAAACUUGAUCUAUCGUAUUUGAAGUUUCUAGAAAAUAAUUUUUGCGAUUUUUCAAUAUCAUUUACCUAGCAAUCGAAAGGAUUCAAAAUCAAUAAUUUUUAACCGGACUCUAUGAGUAUAGACUGGGUCUACUAUACUUUUCAAUAUCAUUUACCUAGCAAUCGAAAGGAUUCAUUUUCAUUCGUUAAAUCAUACUAUUCAACCAACUACCUAUUCAAUUUUAGGGGACCACUAUCAUUCUAACCGCACAUCCCAACAAUUAAUGAUUAAAAAUUUAUGAGUAUAAAGGAGUCUAUACUCAUAAGAGUAUAGUAGACCCAGCCUAUAUAUAUAUAUAUAUACACACAUAUAUACAUGCGCAUGCAUAUGCUUUUGUAGCUUUGAUUGUAGCAACCAUUUUGUUAAAAAAAAAAAAAAUAGAACUAGACCUACAAGGCUACCCCCAACAAGAAACUUAGCAUACAGCAACAAGAAGCAAUUGGCAAAGGAUCCUUACCAUCAACGCAAAAUAUCAAAGAAGUAACCUAACAAACUAAUAAGGUAUCUCUCCUACUUGGGGAAAACCAAUACGGAGUACUUGCACCAUUAAUAAGAAUAAGAUAGAAGAUACAAAGCUCCAAGCAUAGAAGAAUAUAUAUAAUUAUUAUUCACUCAAUUUUUUAUGAGUGCUUAUCUCAAUUCAUGACCAUAUAAAUCUCCAAACACUAAUCCCUCUCAAUACCCAUCCAAUCCCAUUAACAUUCUCCAACUUAAUCAAAACACUCCUCAAAUUAAGCUUUACUACACAAAUUAUAUUGUAGAGAGAGGCCACUCAUGGAUGUCACAAAGCGUUUGUAUGUAGAUUUUGAACCAACUUCUGAAAUUGUUCAAGGAAAAGAAGAAGACACUGUCCUUAUACAUUUGCCAGGUUAGAUAAUUAAACCAUCAUUAUUAUUAUAUAUUGUCUUUAUUAUCAUCAUGAUUAUUAAUAUCAAGGUUAAUCGCACAAUUCAAUCCCAAUCUUUUACCGGAUUUUUCUUUUUUGAGAGAGAUAGGUAGCACGCUACCCGCUUCGUUUAUUUCAUUUAGAAAUAAACUUAGCUGGAAAUAUGAAUCAACUAGGAUUCGAACUUGGGUCUCGGGUACCAACCACCAAUCCCUUUGCCACUUGCUCUAGGGACAGUCGGUUUUUACCGGAUUUUUCAAUUGAGUUUACAAAGACUUUUAUCAAAGGAGAAAAUAAAAGUUUCCUGUAGGGAUCGAGCACCACCAAAAUAAAUUAUUUUACCAACAAUCGCUUUUACUCUAUCGCAUCUGUUUUCACUAAAAUUUAUUAUCGAACAAAUUACAAAACUUGCUACAGCAUAGGCUCCUACGAAACUGAACAAGCAAAACAGCAAACAAAGAAUAAUUAAAAAAUUAAAAUCAAAAAAAUAUUAAAAUAAAAUAAUAAUAAAGCACUUUUUUCCUGGCCUUCUGCUUUUCUAGCUUGUUGGACGCUUAUCUUCUAUUUAACUACAUUAAAGGAGAAUUUGGGGGACCUUAGAGUGACACGUGUCCCCCCAACCCUCCAAUUCUCUCUCUUUCUACACACACAGACACACACACACACACACACACAUAUAUAUAUAUAUAUAUAUAUAUAUAUAUAUAUAUAUAUAUAAAAUACAAAAUUUAAAAUUUUGAUAUUUUUAAAUUUUAAAGUUUUAAAUUUUAAAUUUAAUAUUUUAUAUUUUAAAUUAUAAUAUUUAUUUCCAAAUUUUAAACUUUUCAAAAUUUAAAAUUUUAAAUCUCUACAUUCUAAAUACAUAAGCAUAAUCAAUCAUAACCUAAUAAAUGUAUUUAAAAAUUAACAUGAAAAUAUCAGGCAUGUAUAAAAAAUAUAGAAUUCUAAUUUUAAGGACUAAAAUUUUAGACAAUAUAUAGUGCAUAUGAUAUAUAUAUAUAAUUAAUUUAUUAAAUAAUUUUUUUAACAAUUUUUUUAAUAUUUUUUGUUUCUUAAAUUCAUUAAUUGAUAGAUUAUCAUCAAUUUUUUUUAAUAUAAAUUCUCAUAAAAUAAAUUAUUGUAAAUAAUUUACUUGCCAUACAAUUAUUUCUAUAUAUCAAUUUAUUUAUCUUAAUUAUAAUUAGACAUUUAUAAAACUUAUAAUAAAAUAUUCAAAAAUAUAUAUUUAUUAUACAAAAUAUUUUAAUCCGCAGCAUCGCGGGGAGUAAUUCAACUAGAUGAGUGCUGCAAAUGCUAACGUGUACACUAAUAUUUAUAAGAAUUUAGACAAUUUUUUUUUAGAUUUAGACUUUUUGAGUUAUUAAAAUAAUUAAAACGACAAAAUUAGUGAUAAAAAAUAGUCCCUUAAAAAUAAUAAAUACAACAUUUAUUAUUUAAUUUCACGAGUACAAAUAGUUAUAUUCGAUUUCGUGACUACAACUUGCACACUUUUAUUGCAUGAUGCACGAAUAAUAUUUUUAGACUCACUCGUAAUAUAUUACGAUGCCGACUAAUUCCAACUUUCGGGUUUAGCAAUGAGCAGCCUGAGAGUCGAAGCACGACUGCCACGCAGGCAACCUGCGAGCAACGCGGCCGAGCGGACCACUGAGAACGGCAGGCGGAUGGAGCCGCUUCACGGCGGACUUCCGCCUCCCGCCGGACUGCGACGUGAACAAUAUCCGGGCCGAGUUCGAGAACGACACCUUGUACGUCAUACUCCCGAAAAGAAUCCCUCCUGCAGCCCAAAAGCCCAGCGCUCCGCUACUGCCGCUGCCGCCACGGCCGCCGCCGCCCCUGCAGCAGCAGCAGCCGCCGCCACUCGAACGUAAGAAACCUGCAGCACCCCCGCCGCCACCGCAGCAGCCGCAGCCGCAGAUCGAACGUAAGAAAUCUGCAGCACCGCCGCCGCCGCCGCCGCCUCCGCAGCAGCAGCCGCAGCUCGAACGUAAGAAAUCUGCAGCACCCCCGCCGACGCCGGAGCCCCCGCGCGAGAAGCAAGAGAAGGAAGAAGAGAAGGGAGGGGAGGGGGGAGUAACGAAGGGGUUGGAGAGGCCGAGGAGGAGGACGCUGUUGUUGAACGUGGCCGUGGCCGUGGCCGUGUUGGUUGGGAUGGGGAUCUACGUGAUUUUUAAAGCACUGAGAAAGCCCGGUUCUGAUUAAUGAACGGAGCAAAUAAUUAAGAACUAACAAAGGGUUUGAUGUAUAUAUAAUCAGAAUUAUUAUUAUUGUGUGGUUUAUCGAUCGAUUGUAUAUUUGCGGAUACGUGCGAAAUAAAAUGUGGAGGUGAUGCUCUGCUCUGGUUUUUAAUUUUAAUCCUCUCGUUUCUUGCUUUUCAUACGCUUUAUUUCGUACAAUUUUGCGUUAUUAAUUCUUGUUAAGAGAGAAAAGACGUAGAAUAUUUGUGUGCUAAGAAAAAAUCGAAUAUUCGAAAGUGCGCACUUGGAGACAUAAGAUCGCAGAGGAAAAAAAAUAAAAGAAAAGUAGUAAAUGUAGAUUGAUGCCCUCAACAAUUAAUAGGGUGCAACUUUGUUGGAAAAGUUUUCAUAAAAACAUAAACUAUAAAAUUCAUUCUGCGUUUGAAUUUUAAAGAUCUGUUCUAAUUUAAACCCUCUUUUUUUUUUUUUUGAGAGAGAGAGAAAUAAACUUAGCUGGCAAUGUAAAUCAACUAAGAUUCGAACUUGGAUCUCGAAUACAAAUAAUCAAGCUUUUUUGCCACUUGCGCUAGGAACGGUUGGUAUCUCAACCCAAAAUUAAAAUACUGGAUCUAGAGUUGGUAUCUCAACGCAAAAUUAAAUACUGGACCUAGAGAGGGCGUAAUAAACUUGACUGAGGAGCCCCUCGUUGGUUUUUUUGUUUUUCGAAACCAGAUGUUUUCGCCUGUUUUCACUAAACGAUUUUUGCUAGUUGAAUUUACAAAGCUGAAUACUAAAUAAAAGUAGGCGAAAACCCAGCUGGUCUAAGAUUAGAAGUUCCGUUUCUUAUAUACUUGUAUUUUCUUGUUGGUCAGCUUUUUGAAUUUUUUUUUCAAAAAAAUUCAUAAUUAAAAAUACCCAAUAAACCACACACAAAAAAAAAAGAAACGGUGGGUGAGAUUACAUAAUUUGCAUUCCUGUGUUCCAUUAAAAGUGCCUAAAAGAAAAAAGAAAAAAAAAAGAGGGCGACCCAAUUGCAAACACUUCAAUAUAUCUAAAACGGAGAAACUACUACGUGAACCUGGCUCACCACGUCAUCAUGGACAGGUCCAUUAAUGUUAUCCCUCUAAGAAUUUUUAGGUCUUACCAUAAAAUCCACUCGGAUAAGAGAUUAUGUUAUGUGCGGUGAGAAAGUAUGAUGAAAAAAUAUUAUGUUUAUUUCCGUACGUAAUAUUGCGUUCCGCAUAUCACGAUUUGUUGGUUACAAUAUAUUUUCUAGUCCUCCCUGAAAACGUAGAAAUAUAUUGCUAUAUAUUUUUACCUCAACUCCAUUUUAUCUAAUAGCAUUAGAUAAAUCUCAAUACCAAACUAACCGACUGACCGUUCCUAGAGCAAGUGGCAAAGAGCUUAGUAGUUGGUACCCGAAGUCCCAAGUUCGAAUUCUAAUUGAUUCACAUUUCUAGUUAACUUUAUUUCUAAAUUCUAAAUAAAAUAAACGAAACGAAUAGCAUGUUACCUAUCUCAUAAAAAAAAAAAGAAGCCAAUCUAAAUGUAAAUCUCCUUCCCAAUAUUUCAUAAGAAUAUCCCAUAUAAUGUUACGUAACCAAUUUAAUGGAAGAGAGAGUCAGAGAGAUAUACCCGCAAAUUGUUAAAGUUUUAAAAUUAUUUAUAUUUUUACAUGAAUAUUUCUGUAGACACGUGCCUUUUUAGGUUAAACUGUAGUACUUGCUAUUUAAAAAUAAUAAAGAAGUUGUUUCCCAAGUUUCAAACUGUGAGGUUACUCAACAACAAGAAGAAGCAAUUGGUAAAGGAUGCUUGCCAUCAAGGCAAAAUAUCAAGAAGCAACCUGGCAAGCUGAUAAGGUAUCUCUCCUGUCUGGGGAAAACCAAUAUGGAGUUUGCACCUUUAAUAAGGAAAAAAAAGAAAAGAAAAGAGAAACUAUGGGAGAUGAAGAAAAGUUUGCAUGAUCAUGGAAGAAACACGCCGUCGCUCGUACACAAUUAUCGAGCCUCGAUGCACUUGGUCGCGGGCCGAGGAUUGCGACACUCUUACAGUUGAUGUAUCAGGCAAGCACUAAUAUAUUUCUUUGCGAAAAAUGAAUGUGUUUAAGCAUCAUUUAACAUAGACAUAAAACAACAGGAUUAGCAUAUAACAUCUCUUUCUUUUCGUCGUUGAUGAAUGCUUUUUUUCAUUAUAGUAGUGUAGAAUGCUUUUAGGGGUAGCUACAAAUGCGCCUUCCAAAAUAUAGAGAAAAAAAACUAUUUUCCUGUCGUAAGAAAAGAUAAUUUUGAGAGAGAAAUUAACAAGCUGAGUCCAUUUUCAUUUGCCUCUGUUCACAUCCAAAUGCAGGAUUCAAGGAGGAACAGCUGAGAGUUUUAGCCAACACCCGUCGGAAGCUGAAGAUCAGUGGCGAGCGCCAUCUCGACGGAAAUCGGUGGGCUCGAUUCGUUAAAGAGUUCCGAAUCCCGAAAAGCUGCCAUAUAAAAAGCAUCAAGGCCACGUUCAACAAAGAAGAUCAAGUGCUUAAUGUCAUACUACCAAAAUCGACCCACCAAGUUAAAUCACAGGAACAACCAACACAAGUGAGUGAACCUCCAGUGGAUCACAAAACAAGCGAAAAGACGGAUUCGAGCGAUAGCCAAGCAAGAAAGGCUACGGAUGAAAAGAAUUUAGAAGGUAGCAGCAAAGGUGCAGUACAAAGAGCGGAAGAGAGUAUUAAGGGAGAACAAGAAACAGUGCCUACGAAGAAUGAGAGAGACUCGGGGAAAAGAGACGAGGAAUUCACCAAAGAGAAUGAUAAGCCUGCAGUGAAUGAAAGGGAUUCGAGCAAAAGAGCUGAGGAAAUCACCAAAGAGAAUGAGAAGCCUACAGAGAAUGAGAGGGAUUCGAGGAAAAGAGAUGAGGAACUCACCAAAGAGAUUGAAACUUCUCAGGAGGCGAAUGCGUCGAAGAAGCGGAGGAAAUGGUAUGCUGGACUCGUUAGAUGGUUUAACAAGAUCAAAGCAUUUAUGUUGUAUGUUGUUGUUCCGAUAUUGAUCAUUGUGGGUGUUGUGACUUAUUUGAUGUAACAAAAUUGUAGACAAACACGUAAUUCACGAUGCAAACCAUUAGGAACAGAGGAACCUGCCAAAUAUUCUAUUAAUUUAUGGACCAAAUUGAAAUAUCACAGAAUACACGAGAGAUAACAACUCCCAAUAACCUCAAGAAGGGGCGGAUUAUCGCGACGAUUUAUAAACAAAAGAAACCUAACGUUCUAACUAACAACAAUCAGCAGGAUACAAGAGACCCAUUUUAUUGGGAAACAAAUGGAGAAAUUUCUCCGUCCUUUUGAAAAGGAAAUCACGAAAUCUUAAGUAUUAAAGAGAUAGGAAACAGCUUAUUUCGCGCUGGCCAGUUGGGUGCGGAGCAGCUUGGCCGCAGCGACCAUGUUGGUGAGAGCAGGCUUAACCUCAGAAUACUUCCGGGUCUUCAACCCGCAGUCGGGGUUAACCCACAGGAUGUUCGUCUCGAGAACUGCCAGCAUCUUGUUGAUGCGGUCGGCGAUCUCUUCGGUCGUUGGAAUUCUGGGUGAGUGGAUGUCGUACACGCCUGGGCCGAUGCCGGCGCCAUACUUGACCCCCUCGCGGAAGACCGAAAGGAGCUUCUCGUCGGACCGGGAGUUCUCGAUGGUGAUGACGUCGGCGUCCAUGUCAAUGAUGGAGUGAAUGAUGUCGUUGAAGUUGGAGUAGCACAUGUGGGUGUGGAUCUGAGUGGUGUCGUUAACACCACAGUUGGUGAUACGGAAGGAGUGAACGGCCCAGUCCAGGUAAAAAGCUUGCUCUGACUUGCGAAGAGGCAAGCCUUCUCUAAGAGCUGCUUCGUCGAUUUGGAUAACCUGUCAAUAAAAUCAUAAAGCAACAAGAUAAGAUUCAGACAUAAAAUAAAAAUUGAACAAAAAAAACCUAGUAAUUAAAUGCCAAUUAUGGAGUUUCAAUUACACAACUUUCUUGCUAAGAACUCCUUUUGAGGAACCCCGAUCACACAGUUCCAAGAAAUUGAAAUUAUAGUUUUUCAAAUUACAUAAAAAUUAUGAGGUUAAAAUUAAUUUGGAAGGAUUUGGUGCGAUCAUAAUGUAGCCAGCCAAAUCACAUUAUUGAAGUCAGAUUUGGGGGCAACCUAUUUAUUAUUAUAGUAUAUCAGUGACCCAAAAAAUUUACCGCUUCCUAGGAUAGUCACGUUAACUUACUAUGGAAAUAGGUUACAAAAGGAAAAUUAAUUAUAUCCAAAUAAUUUCUCAUUCUUUUGAAACAAAGACGCCGAAUGGAAAUCCAAUUCAACUCCAAACUAUCACAAGCAGAAAAAGAAAUGCUCCUAUUUCAGGUCAACUGAAUUCUUCUGAACUGAAAUAAAAAUUUCAAUUCAGAUUUGGUUUCAAACAGUGUAAAAAAGAAAAUACUAACCUGAAUACCAGCAGCUUCUAGAUCCUCAACCUCUUUCUUAAUUGCCAGAGCUAUCUGAUAGCACGUCUCAAACCUAAUAAACAAGCAAAUAUCGCUCUUAUGAGUCUUAUUUACUUUCUAUGAGAGUAAAAAUAAAUACAGUGUUGAGGAAUUAAGUAGUUGCUGUUACCUUGGUUGGUCGUUCCUGACGAAGGACCAGUUGAGGAUAGUUACAGGACCAGUCAACAUUCCCUUCAUUGGGCGAGCAGUCAUGCUUUGUGCUGCUGAGGACCAGAAAACAGUCAUAGCCUUGGGGCGGCUCACAUCGCCGUAGAUAAUGGGUGGCUUAACGCAUCGAGAUCCAUAAGAUUGCACCCAACCAUUAACGGUGAAUGCAAAGCCCGAUAGUUGCUCCCCAAAGUACUCAACCAUGUCAUUCCUCUGUGUUUGAAGUAUAUUUAAUUAAUUUCUAUGUGUGAUAAACAAAUCACAAUUACUGAAACCACCUUUAGCGUUUUAACAGUUUCCAAAAAGCAAAGUUAUUUUUUCCCAUAGAGUAAUAAUAGAUUCCAAAUUCAAAUUUAAUUAAAAUGAUGAUACCAUGCAAAUAACAAAGCUCACCUCUGGCUCUCCAUGAACAAGGACAUCAAUAUCAAGUUCUUCCUGGAGCUUGACAACCUUGUUGAUUUCCUCCUUGAUGGCCUUCACAUACUCCUCUUCAGAUAUUCUGGUGCAGAAACAACUCUUAAGAAACAUUCGGGAACAAUAAAGGAUUUAAUAAAUCAUAUAAAAUCACAGAUAAUCAUGACCCACUUGUUCGCCUUGUACUCUCGUCGCACUCUCCUGAGCUCCACCGUCUGGGGGAAUGAACCAAUAGUAGUGGUAGGAAGAAUUGGAAGAUUAAGCUUUUUCUGCUGCACAUCUAAUCUGGCACUGACAUUUGUGGCUCGGCGAUGGUCAGAGCCCUUCAAUGCAGCAGCCUAAGAGAAAAGAAGAAAAAUAAAAAACCAACCCCACGUCUGAAUAGAUAUUUUGCAACCCCUUUAUCCUAAACUAGAAUGAAAUCCAUAGCUAUAGCUACUCACGGCUUUUUGAACUUCUUCAUUGGUCACUCUAGGAGAUGACUUCCUCGAAGCCUGAGCUGCAGCAUUUGCUGAGAAGUAAGACUGCAGAAAACCAUUGAUUGUGAGGCCAUAGCAUCUAUUGCAAACCCAACAUGCAAAAGGAGCUUAGCUAAAUACUUUAACUAAAUUAACCGUCUCAUGAUUUCCAUAACCUAACUAUGAGUAAUGGAUUGAAAGACCUAGUCCAGGUUUUAUCUACCAAAGAUGAGAUCACUAGCAGCCAAAACCAUCUAACAGUAUAUACCUCAUCCUUCUGACCAGCCAAUGCCUUGGCAAGUGCAUUAACUUCGACCAGCUUUUGAGCAGCAAAUGCCAGCCACGAUUUGAUUUCGUUGUCCAACUUAGUCUCGUUAAUAAGGUCCACGGCAGUGUGCAUAAGUGAGCAGGAUGUUGAAACCACAAGCUUGUCUGAAAAGCAAAAUUUCAUCAGCACGCACUCAAGAUGUAUCUAACCGAAAAUAGGAGAGUAACUAAGAAUAAAUCACCUUUGCCAACUAUAGAUUCAAGAGCCCCAAGAGCACUGAGAGAGGCAGCAAGAUCAUUGGCCCAAAUGUUUCUCCCAUCUACCACACCGGCAAAAAGAUACUUUCCAGCAGGAAAUCCCACGCUCUUGAUGACAUCGAGUGUCUUGGUUCCACGAACAAGAUCGAAACCAAAACCAGAAAUGCCAUUCAGUGCAGUGAUAGUCCUGAGAUUGGCAAAACCUAUGAGUGAACUUCACAAAAGGUAUGUUAUACGAACUUGUAAAUAAGAAAUGAGUUCAUAUAUGCACCUCCCAUAACUGCAGUUUCUUAAAUAAAACGAAAAAAUCAGAAAAGAAAGGAAAAGAAAAAAAAACAAAAUAACUUUUGACUAAGUUGGGAGGUCAGCCAUCCAAUUCAUGGGAGAAAUUUCCUUUUGCGUAGGAAAACUAAAUUCUCUUCUUAAGAGAAGCAUUUUGUAAGUAGUAGGGUAUUUAUGUAAGAAAUUUAGUUUUGGAAGGGCAUAUAUGAAAAUGAAAAAUUUCAGGGAUAUAAGCAUAAAUAGAAAUUUUGGAGCAUAUUAUACAUAGGUAAUAAUAGAGUAACUAGCCAGGAACAAACUUACUUAUAAGCCUCCAAUGGGACAUCAGCAAAGUAGGUCUCGAUGAGGACAUUCGAACCAGAAAACGAUGAUUCGAGUUCUGCGUAUGCCUUCGAGAAUGCAGACAACUGGUGAGAAUCGAGAUCCAUCACAAGGGUGGGUUCGUCAAACUGGAUCCACGAAGCACCUGCUGCCUUUAGCUCAGCAAUAACCUCCCUGAAUGUGAUUGUGCCAUGAUUUGUCAAAAAUGUAUAGGGAAUGCAGGUUAAGUUAAUGAUUACUAGGUGAUUUUGAUUCUUACUUGUAGAUGGGAAGAAUGCUGUCGAGGAGUGAAAGGAGAGGGAAUGAUUUUUCCACACCUUUAGCAGGCUUUGAGAGCAACAAGUAUGUCACAGGUCCAAUAAGAACUGGAACUGUAUCAACUCCAAGCUGCAGGAGAGGGAGAAAAGAUUAACAAUGAGAGGAAAAGACAUCACACAGCAACUCAUUAAAAUUACCAUGACAGGACAAAUAUUAAUAAACCAAAAUAUUCAUUAAGCGUUAAUAUUACAUGUACUUCUAUUUUAUUCCCAAGCAUCCUAGAAAAAAUUCCCACACUUGUAGAUAUGUAUAGUUCAUGCAAGAUUAUUAAUAAACUAGUUGUAAUUUCACUAGAGAAUGACAAUAUCAUUUAGAAUUCUAAAUUCUUAUCAAAGAGAAAUAAAGCAUGGUAAGAGUUGUAUUUUGCAAUUUAAUUGCACUUCAAAUUGAUUAAUUAAAUAUGUCAGGUUAUAAACAAAAAACUUACUCCAAGAAAAUCCUCUAUUUAGUAUUUACAAAAUUACAUAUAAUUCUUUGUCACCAAAUCAUUCAAUUAGAAACCAUCAAAAUUUAAAAUUUAAAAGCAAUGAUUAUAGUGCCCAACGAACAUGGGAGAUGUUCCUUCCCACAUAUAAUAUCUUCAAAUAUCAAGCCACAACACAUCAUGCUACUGUUUGGAUGUUGGAAUAAGUUAUCCUUGAAUAACUUAUUUAGCAUAAAAUUUUUCUUUUGUGAUCGGAGGCAAAAGGUUUAAUUUUUGCUCCUGAAAAGGUCUUAUCAUCCUUGAUUUGGUAGGAUAACAUAUUUCACCUUAAGGUGAUUUAUCUUAUUUUGAAAAAUUGACUAGAAAGUAAAAUAUGUAAUCCCAUUAUAGACGUUUCUCAUCUACCAAAUAGUACAACUUCCUGAGUAAAUCAAAGAUAUAUAUGGAAUAAGAUAUUCAUGCAUCCAACAAGGGCCAAAUUUGCAUAUUGGUUUGUGCUUUUACCUCACAGAUUAUAAAAAAAAUGGAAAAACUUUCUCAUGAAAACCAGUUAGAAUCAUUGUUUAAUUCAGGAAGGGAAUAGAAGGAAUCAAGGACCCAAUGAAACUAAACCCUAUACACAAGCACAUGAAUUCAUCAAGAGCAUUCAAGUGCAAACUGAAUUUCAGGUUCGUACCGCCUUGGCUUCCUUGUACUCAGAGACAGCCUUGUGAGAAGAAUAAGAGAACUUGGUGUUUGGGCCCAAUUCAGGAACAAUGAAAUGGCUGAAUGCAACAAAUGCAUUGUCAAUAAGAAAUCGAUUAUACAAAAUGAAAUGUAUAUAAAUUAGUUGAACAAAGCCUCGAGAUAGGGCGAGUGACUUACUAGUUAGUGUCAAACCACUUGGUCAUCUCCAUAGCAGGUACAGAGGCAUUUCCUCUGGCCAUAGAGAAAUAGGUGUCAAAACCAAUCUCCCCGCCAUUCCAUGAAUAUCGUUCAGGGACGGCACCAAGCAUGGCGGUUGUAUCAAGUACCUGAUCAUAGUAGGAAAAGGUGUUGCUAGGAAUGUAUUUGAUCCCAGCGUCAGCCAUUUGCUUCCAAAUGGAACCUCUGAGAUCUGUGGCGACCUUCUGCAAAUCAUCAGCACUGCUCUUCCCAUCCCAGAAAGAUUCCAAUGCAAACUUAAGCUCUCUCUUCGGCCCCAUGCGGGGGUAUCCAACAAUGUGCGACGCCAUCUUACUAUACAGGUUAAGAGAGAAACGUAUAUCAAACUUGCAUUAUUAAAAGCAACUCUGUCACUACGAUAUAUGAUAAUGAAGCAUAUUCUCUUUUACAAGAUAGAACUGGUAUGAAAGAAAACGCUUUUAUUGCUUGCAAAGAAGAACAAAAAAAAUCAACAUCCAUAUAAAACAACCUAUUGGAGGAAUCUUCAUGUUCGUGUGCCAGCAAUAACAAUGAAUCAGAAGUUGGUGCACUACGAAACUAAACAAACUUUCAACCCAAAAAGAUCUAAGCAUUUAUAUAAUCAAUUAAUUAGCUGCAAAGAUCCCAUGGAAUCUGGCAUCUUACGUAGUAUUUUUAUCUUCCAAAGAGCAACAGCCAUGUUGGGGUAAAAAUGGUAAAAAAAAAUCAACAAAAAAAAAGGAAUGAGACGAACACAAAUAUUCAACCUCUUCUUAAUAAAGCAUUCAUAUGGCAGAACAAUAAAUCAAUAAAAGAAAUAAAAAAUAAAAAAUCUAAAAUAUCGGAGCUACAUAUCGUAAUAAAAAUAAGGCACAGCUACAGCUGCAACUAUAUGAAUAUGCUCAAAUAAGGAUCGUGUAUAUAUAUAUAUAUAUAUAGCACUUAGUUCAAAAAUCACAGAGAACAUCAGAUCACCUAAGAACAACACAGGCGAGUGAGAAACUAUGUCCGAUGGAUCCACAGGGAGGAACAGGAUCCAAAAGUAUAUAGGGAUCUAUCAACACCAAAAUCGAUCAUAAGCUAUAAUCUAACACUUUUUCCCUAACAAUUUCAAAUCAAAUCCAGGAAAAGCGAGCUCAAAAACAAAAAAGAGAUCCAGAACUAAUCGUACUAAGCAAAAUCCACUAAAAACACUUACUGAUCAGGUACCGUAACAGAUUCCAAUGAGAAGAUAGAUUCAAACUAAAUGAAACAAGAAAUGGCUUCAGAUCCGACGAAUACGCAACGGAUCUGAUAUCGACAGUGAAAAGGAAGCAUAAACACUACUUAAAUCGACGAAAAAAGGGGGGAAAUACCGCAAAAUCGGAUCUAAUCUCAGUGCGAAAACAAAGUGAUUUAGCGAGAGAGAAGAAGAGGUUAAUUAUGUAUGCGAAAAUGGCGAAUGGAGGGGAGGAGAUCGCGGGAUUACCUGGAGAACGAAGCGGAAGAGGAGGAUAGUGGAGAGAGAGAGAGAGAGAGAGAGAGAGAGAGGAGCGAAUGGGGCGCGAGUGAGAAAAGGGCUCAAGGGUUAUUUAUAGACACAGUGGGUCGAGUUCGGUGCAGGAUUGCUGUGUGGAACGAGAAAUUGCUUCGUAGACCGUCCCCACCACGUCACUCGCGGACUACUUUCUUACCAUCGUUCCAUUACUCCUUUGCCCAUUAAAUCAUUGUUAUUUAAAAAAAAUAAAUAAAACCACUGUUAAUUAAUAGAAAUAAGUAAAUUACACCACUACUCAUCAAGAUUAUAGAUAAAUAUUAUUUAAUUACAAUAUUUUAGUUUAUUUUUAUUAAAUCUAUUUUUAUUUUAAUCAUGUCACCCACUUUUAUUAUAUUUUUUAGUAAACUAAUAAUAAGAUGAUUCAUUUAACCCUCGUAAGAUAAUACGGCAAUAAUUGUUGGCUAAUUUAAUUAUUAUCUCCAACUGUCAUAAUUCAACUAUAAAUCAAGUAAUAAAAUCAUCUACACGUAAUAAAUUAAUAAUUAUACCAUCUUCAAGAAAAUAUAGUACCGAUUAAUUAAUAUAUUUAAUAUUUUAAUUUGAAAAUAAUUGGAUAGAAUUUAAUAAAAUGGUUUAAUUGAAAUAGAGUUAUAAAUUUGAUACUUUUGAAUUAGAACUUAGUGAUUUAAUUAGAAUUCAAUUAGCUGUGGGUGUAAUUCACAUGUUAAAAUAAAUGUAGUAGAGGUUUACGAGGUCCACGGGUGAGGUGGUGGACUUGGUUCAUGCAAUAUAUUUUUUUCUUGCGAGACAGAGAGGGAGCAGCAGAUCAGAUGCGAUUGGUACUGGGCGUAUCCCAGACCAAAAAAAUAAAAUAAAAAUAAAAAAAUAAAAAGCCAAUGAAUUUAAAGCAUGUGAGAAGAGAAAAACGAAAAGCGACUAGGGGAGUAGGUGUGACACAGAGAAAAAUAAUAAUAAUAAAAUAAUAAAGAUACGAAAAAUAUAAUAAAAAAGAGAAAAUAAAAAUUAUAAAAUAGGAGUUUGGUGAGAUAGUGGCGAGCUACCAUCUUUUGUGAGAAAAAUUAACACUCCUUUUGUAAAUAUAUAAAUAUAUAAAUAUAUAUAUAUAUAUAUAGAGAGAGAGAGAGAGAGAGAGAGAGAGAGAGGCUGUAGCUUCUAUACUAUUAUGGGUAUUGGAGUUCUCGUACUCAUAAGUUAUUUUCGAUGAUAGAGCUUCCAAAUCGAUGAUCCAUUCCGCUAAAUAUGAUCUAGAGUAUUUGAAACUUGUAGAAAAUAAAUUUCGUAAAUUUUCGAAAUCAUAAUAAAGUCCAUCAAGCGGGCGUAAAAUGAACGGUCAAAAUCGAACGACGUCCUAAAAAAGGAUGAUCGGAUCCUUCAAUUCAAGAUCGGAGUUGUUGAUCUUUAUCUAGAUAGUGAAUAGAAUUUUUUCAAAAAUUCAACAAAUUCCAAUUCUUUUACGCCGUUAAACUAGCAAGUAUCCCAUACCGGCCAUUAAAAAUUGUCAAAUUUGUGACAUCUUGAUCAUAAAGUAAAUGAUGUCGAAAGAUUAUAAAAUUUGAUUUCUAGAAGUUUUAAAUGCUGUAAAUAACGUUUAACGGUAUGGAUCAUCGAUUCGGAAGCUCUAUCAUCGAAAACGAUUUAUGAGUAUGAGGGCGAUCAUACUCAUAAUAGUAUAGUAGCCGGACCCUAUAUAUAUAUAUAUAUAUAUAUAUAUAUAUAUAGAGUCCGGCUACUAUAUUAUCGAUAGUACCAAGCCCUUGGUACUAUUGAGUUUUCUACCGUUAGAUCUACCCUUUGAUCAUUUCCACNUAUAUUUUUAGUAUCUCAUGAAUUUGUGAAUACUUAAAAGUUUAAAAAAUGUGUAUUUUUUAAAAAAAUUAGAUAUAAGUCAUUCUUUCGCUUUUAUAAAGCUAAUUCUCGAUUGAAGUUGCAAGUUUCAGGAGAUAUGUACAAAUGUUAUGUUUUUAUUUUUAUUUACCAUUUAUCCAAUUCUUCAAUUUUAGGAUUCAAAUGUAACGGACUAUUAGAGCACAGCGUAUAAUUUUAGAACUAAUUUUAGAUAUAGUUUUGACUUUUCGACCUUUAAGACCAAAGUUUCGCAUAUGUUCUUGUGACAAGUGUAAGUCAAGAUCUAACUACUGAAUACGUUGCGUGAAUAUAUUAUUUUUCUUUUCAGUUUUGAAAUUUAGGAUCUGUUUAUGUGCAAUUAUGCCCCUAAUCAUAUGGUUUCCUAGACAUGCGGAAAUUAGUGGACUUGGUAUUAGCUCACAUUUAUUAAUUAUUGCAUUAUAAAAUACUAUUGCAACUACCAUGAUUGCUACAUUCAGCUGCUUUCUCUCGUGCUCAACCAAAUAAUACUAGGGAAUGUUUGGUUCCUCCCAAAAUAGAGGAAAUUUAUUUUUUAGAAAUAAAGUUUAUAUAUAAAAUAUUUUUAUUUCUCAAAUAAAAAAUUUGAACAAUAAAAAUGAGAUUUUGUAAGAAAUCUAAAUUUUGUUAAGAAAGACUACCAAGCUAACAAAAAUUAUUUUUUUCCACCGUAAACUUUUUUUUAUGAUAUUUUCAGAUAACCAAAUAGUCCUUCAAUAUAUUGUUGUAUGGACUUUACAUUCAGUAAAUCGGGUCUAUCAACAGAAAUCAUUUAAAAUAUAAAUUGAAACUAUUAAAUGUGACAUAAAGCCUCUCUAAUUAAGUAAGUUACAUAUAAAAAUUUUAUCGGUUUAAAAAUAUAAUUUUAAGAUACUAAAUUGUUCUAAUAAAAAGUUGUUUUCUAAAAUGCUUAGCUAUUUUUGUAAUAUAUAUGUUGUAAAAAUGAGAAUUUAUUACAUUUAUGAGAGAGAAAAUUGAAAAAUAAUAUAAUUUUUUAAAAAAUAUAUUAAACGGGUCCAUUGUAAUAAUUCCUAAAAAAUAUAUUACGCAUAAUGAUGUCACCCAAUAACUACGAGUGGGGCCCAUUGAGGGCACGUUAGGUGACUCCUACUUCCCGCGGUAGGUGAGCUUCGGUGGGCCCCACUAUUAACAUCAAACUCAAGGUUAGGUCACGAGCCCAACCGAGUCACCUCAAUCUCGACUCGCCCUUCGUUUUCAUUGGAUGGUGAUAAAAUAGACCGCGUAGUUUUUGCACGGAAAUUCUCCAUGGACCAAGCUCACCACAUCAGCAGAAUUUCUUUCUAUGCCUCAGAUUUUUUAAUUUUGUUUAAAAAAUAAACUCAAGUAAAAAAUAUUAAGCAGCUAUUUUUUGAACUUUAAAUUUUAGCUACCAACCAAUAAGCUGUUAGAAAAUUUUCUGUGUGGGCCAAGCGCACCACGUCAGCAAUGAAUUAAUUUUUAAUAACUGAGAGUAAAAUAGAAGCUCUUGUAAUAAAAUUAUAUGGAAGUUUAUCACUUUAAAUCUAGAUUGUUUGGACCAUGAAAAUACUAAUAGUUUGGUGAUUAUUCAAUGACUUAUUCUCUAUCACAAAAUUUUAAAGUGAAAUUGGCUGCAUAAUGAAAUUUAAAAAGAAUGGAUACCCGGCGGCUCAUGGCUGAUAUGGUGGACCAAAACUAGGCAAGAAUUGAUCCGGCGCAGUGUCCUUGAUGUAUCUAUUCGGUUUUAGGUACCAAGUUAGAUGUGCUCGUUAAUAAAGUAUGUUUAACUUUGACUAGUAUACCUACUUAGAUGUGCUCGUUACAUCAACAAAUCCAUUUUAAAAUUUUAAAUAAUUUUUAACUUAUCAACUAACAUAAUUUAGAAGCAUUUAAAAUACAUAAGCCGGAAUUAAUUAAAUCUACAAUAAUACUUCAUUCUUUUUUGUCAUUUACAUGAUUAUGAAUAAAUAAAAUUAGUUAAGAUAUUAAAAUUUACAUAUAAAAUAAUUUUUACAUUUUUAUUUAUGUUGUAUAGAGCGUGAAUUGAAAUAACUGUAUAUUUUUUUUUUCACACAUACUACAUCCUAAAAGUUAGUGUUGGUUGGGUUCUGGGUUAGGCUCGGCCCAUCAACUGCACAAAGUAGCCCGGCCCUACGCGUCUCUACAAGUCAUUCGCCCAUUUCUCCCCUUUCCCUCUUCUCUCUCUCUCUCUCUCUCUCUCUCUCUCUCUCCUCGGUUGUUCUCGCACCUCCAAACCCUCGCCAUGUGCCAAGGCCACCACCUCCACGCGUCCAUGCGGCGGCCGCCGCCGUCGCCGUCGCCGGAGUCCGGCGGGGCGCAGCCGCCGGCGAGGGAGGCGGAGGCGGCGCCGCUGGCAGCGGCGCGUGCGCGUUUGGCCGAAUCGAUCGCGGCGCUCGAGCGGGAGCGUGCCCGCGCCGCCGCGCUCCGCCGUCGCCUCGCGGAGUCCUACGCCGAGAGGGACCGCCUCAGAGAGGUGCUGGCCACGAUGAGCGCCCUCAAGAGCCGCCUCCGAGAGCUCGUCCGCGUCGGCGGCGACACCACUCCGUAGGGUCUCCGGUAAUGCGCCGUAAAACCCUAACCCUAAUCGCAUCUCAGUUCCACCUCUAUCUCCAGUUACAGAUGUUCAUGUUAGUGUUUGGUUAUAGCUAGUCACAUUGCUCCGGAUGUUGUUAAGCAUUUUUAUCUGGUUAUUGAUUUCCACGAACUCAUUUAUCGUGCUAUGCGUGGAAAAGGCGAUGACAUGUAGACAAAUUGGAUUAGAGUGAUAUAAUGUAAUGAGAUUGCUUGGUUUUGUAGACUUAUCAAAUUCAUGUAGAUUGCGUGUUGUGUAUGUGAAACUCUAUUUGGCAUCCAAUAGAAGAUUUAAUUGAGUUGAUUCUCAAUACAAUGAAAUCAAAUUAAUUGGAUUUCAAGGUGAAUUCUUCUGUUUGGAAUGCAAUGUACUGUAUAACCCAUAUGAGAAUCAGUAGGUUAUUUUUGUGUAGAGGAAUAUAUUUAUUCUCGAGAACUUCAAUUCACGGCAACUUGGAUCUCAGAUUGUCUUAUUUGCUAAAACUUGCUGAAUCAUUUUAAACUAUCAGAAAUCAUGUCGAAUCAUCAUAUUUGUGUAGGUUUUCAAACAACUGAUAUAGUGAAAUGUGAUAUGUUAGAGAAUGGGUAGAAAAAUUAAUCACACCGAUUGAAUUAGCAAAGUGCAAGUUUUGGGUCAAAUAGAAAAUUGAAAUGCAUAAUGUGACAAAUGAUUCAAAGGUGGAAAAUACGGUCAAAUAAAAAAAGAAUUUAGCAGAGCAUGCUGUGUACUUAUGUUGAUUGAAAGACCAUUCGAUCUAAAGGAAAAGAAUGCGCGCAUAGAUUCAUUUCAUCUAAACUAAGAGAUGGCAUAUAUAGUCCAGUAAUAAUGCUGCAUUAAUAAAAAGGUAAGAAGAAAGUUUUAAAGCAGCUCUUGCAGCCACGCUUCCAUAAUCAUCUUUCUCCAGCUUCUCUUCCAGGUAGUUGCCCUCAAUCCUGGAGAGAAUUGUCCUUUGUCUAUUCAAGAAAUUAAAAAGGGGCUUAUGGACAAUUCUUAUAUGUAAUUUGGAGAUUUAACAUUGUGCCGUGCUAUUAUUGUUCUCUUUGUUGUGUUAACCUGAUGUGUAAGCUAGUGUCAACAAGAACAGCAACAUCAAUCAUUGUCAACUUCAGAUAUUGGCGACUUUUAAACUGUAUGUUACAAGUAUUUAGUUUGUCUUGCUGAUUAUGAGCAUCAAAGGACCUCUUUUAUGCUGUGUCUGCUACUAGGAGUUUACAUGAGGAUUAACUGAAUACUUCCAAACCCACAGUUUUGCUUGGUGAGAAACUUAAAUAAUUAUUUGGAAGAUGGGGACUUCAAUCUCUGUCAAAACAGGUUCUGACAUCCAUUUUGGAAACUGACUGGUAAUAAAAGCUUGAGCCUUAGACAUAGGCUAUAAGAAGAGCAAACCCUGUAUAUCAUCUCUUGUGGAGUUAAACUUCAUAUGUGAGCAAACCAUUCUUUCUCUAUUUUCAUUACGGCUCUCCAUCAAGCCAUGGCACCUAUUCUCUACCUUGAUGGAUUGAAACUUAUUUAUGAUUCUGGUUAGCAUAUCACUACACGGAUCACUCCAUUGCUUAGUAGUGGAAUACCUAUUUGGAUCUGAUCCACUAAAACCUAUGGCGGUAUCUUUGUAAUUGUUGUUUACCUGCAGAACAAAGCUAUCUGCAUCAUAACGGCGUCUUCUGUCGUCCACCUCUCAAAAUACACUCCGUUCUUCAGCAGCGCAUCAGGUGAGACCAUUGAAAUGGUUUUCUUCUUCAAUUUCCAUUAUUGUUUAUUAGUUUUAGUGCUUGUACGCGGAAUUUGUUUGAUGACCCAUCUUUUAUUCGCUGUUUGCUCUAUUCACUUGUUUAAUUGUACCAAGGUUCCUAUUUCUCAUCCUUUUUAGGAGUUUUCAAUUUACUCACAAUCUCUUAAUUGUUACAAUUGGUUUGGUCAAUUUUGUGUCCCAUCAUGAUCUUAUCUUUUCUCAUCAAAACUCUGGUAAAAUUGGAAGAAAUUAUCCAUGCAAUCGUCAUGUACAAAGUCCAGAAUGGGGCCAAUUGUAACCAUCAGAGGUUUUGAAUAUUGGAUAGUUCUUGCAGUAGACGAUAAUUUUUGGCAAUUUAGGAACCAGCAUAAACUGUAUAGCUGAUACUUUCUUCUUUUUUUUAAAAAAAAAAAAAACUUUUUUACUUUUUUCUGUUCUUCUCUUCUGCUUUUUUGGUAACACAAUGAAAUAGGAAGCUGGGACUAGUGAUUCCCAAGAAUAGGUAUAGCUAGGUUUUUUAUGUCGUAUUUGGUUCAUGAUAUAUUUUAAGAUUUUUCAUAAUUGGGCUAAAGAUUCUCAUUUGGUUUGCUGCGAAAACCUAACGUGACAAAAAAUUUAUGAUUUUUAUGGCUUUUCUUAAUUCGACAAAAUGUGAGAAUUCAUAAUUCGCCUCUUCUCUCGGUUUUUUUUUUCUCCCCUUAAUGUGAAUUUGAUUUUCAAAGUUUGAUAUUUAUCAUCCUAUAAUGUAUAAAAUAAAAUAAAAUAGUGUAUGGUAUAGAACUUAUUAAUAAGAUUACUGUAGCAAACAUACUAAUAUGCCUUAGUUAUUAUUAUCAUAAUGAACCGGAUAUUUUAAGGUACGAAUCAAAUAAAAAAUAUUCCUACAACAUUCGAAAAAAUUUUAGAAAAAUAAUUUGAAAAAAUUUAAUUCUUUGCAAAAGUUUUGAAAUACCGUCAGUGUCACGGGCGCUUGUUGUUUUCGGUGUCAUCUCGUGAUCUGUUAUUUUUGGUUGUUUUUGGUGUCUGUCAUCUUGUGAUCUGUUAUUUUUGGUAAAACUAGAAUGUUAUUUUCUGCGCUCAUUCACGGGAAAUCUCCCAACUCUCGUGAGAGGAGCAAUAAAAGAAGGAAUAUAUUAGAAGGACACUAAAAUAUUAUUUUUAUUAUUUAGUACAUAUCAUAACAACAAAGCCAACUCUAGGAAUAUAUUAGGACACUAAAAUAUUUUUAUUAUUUAGUACAUUAGGGGGAUAGCAUAGCAGAAGUAAACAUUGGUAUCUCUCUCAUGCAGUCACAAGCACUACUAAUAGCUUCAGUCUCCACCAUCUAGCCCUGCAAGUGACAGGAAAUAUAAGAAGAUUAAGAUGAAUAAAUGCAACAUCGUAUGGAUUCUAAGAUAAUUGAUUGGAAAAAAAAAAAGAUAAAAAUGUAUAUAAAUUACUUGAACUGUAGAUCAUUGUGAUUUAGCUACCUAAUUUUUUAUAAUUUUAAUUUUUCUAUUCAAUUUUUUAAUUUAUUUGAUUUGAGCCGGUCUACGAUAUUUGACUUUAAAAUUUCAAAGCGUCAUUUUUCUCACAAAUUUUGUUAAUUUACUAUAUAUAAUUCUUGCAAUUAUAAUUUUAUUAAAAUAAAUAAUUAAUUUAAAUUUUAAAGUCAAAAUAUCAUCCACCAAUUCAAAUCAAACAAAUCGGAAGAUUUGAUAAUAAGAUUAUAAUUUCGCAAAGAUGAAUAACUGAAUCAAAAUGUUCUAUAGUUCAGAUAAGUUCUUUAGAAAAGGUAAAAAGAAGGCUCACCUUUGUGAUCAUUUGGAGCGAGUGAUCUAGUCGCUGUCGCUGCUGCUGCUGCUAUGGCCGUCGCCGUGCUUCUUCUCCUUCUUAUCCUUCUUCUUCUUCUUAUCCUUCUUCUCCCCGUGCUCUUCGCCGUGGGUCUUGUCCUUGACCUUCUCAACAGGCCCUCCUGCAUGGUGCUUCUCCCCUUCCUUCUUGUGCUCCUCCGCCUUGGCGUGCUCUUGCUUGUGCUUCUCCUCCUCUUUUUUGUGCUCUCCCCCUCCCCCCAUGUGGAGCUUCUCCUCAAUCUUGUGAAUUAUACCCGACAUUUUCCCAACUCUCUCUCUCUCUCUCUCUCUCUUCUAUUCUAAUGCAAUGCCAAUGUGGUAUGGUAUAGAACGUGUACUGUGAUGGCCUGAUUCAUUCCCUUCCCCCUCUCUAUUUAUAGGCGGAGCCACCGAGCGAGAGCAUUUACUAAGCAGUGCACGUUGGCACGGCUACGCGGCGUCAUUUCAUUGGCUCCGUCGAUCGUUCGGCCGUGUAAUCGGGAUCGCCUCGAUAAGCGGGUCGAAGCCGCUGGGGUUGCCGUGGAGUGCCCAGAACCGUUGAGAAUCCGCCACGUGGGUGGGGAGGCGGAUCCGACGAUUUGGUCGGCGAGGGCGUUGUGAUUGACGUUGGUUCCGUGUAUCGAAUAUCGAUGUGAUCUGAUCAUGAUAAGAGCGAUGAGAUUUUUUUUUUUUGCAUUAUUCCCUCCACCGAGUGCGUAAAAUUUUUCCGUGUACCACACACACCUUAGUUAAAAUCUAAUCAUAUUUAUUCUAUAAAGUGUAUAGGGUUUUUAAAUUUAUUACAUUUUAAGUUUAAAAAUCUAAUUAUUCUUUUUAAUUAAAAUUUUAUAUCUAGUGACAUCAGGAAGUGUCGAUAAUUGCUACACAAGUGAAAUGGAAACUACUGCGUCAAAAUCAAACUUUCAAUUGCUGCCGUGAAUCAACGGUGAGAAUAAUGGACUAAUACCGACCGUUCCUAGAGCAAGUGGCAAAGGAUUUGGUGGUUGGUACCCGAGACCCAAAUUCGAAUCCUAGUUGAUUCAUAUUUUUUGCCAAAUUUAUUUCGAAAUGAAAUAAACGAAACGGGUAGCGUGCUACCUAUUUCUUAAAAAAAAAAAAGAAAAAAAAAAUAACGGACUAAUGCAUUUUGGACGGAUGGGAUUUUUUGGAUUUUUGGAUUUGUGUGCGUGUGUGUGUGUGUGUGUGUGUGUGGUGUAAAAUGAGGUCUGCUCAUCUUUACGAGGGAAAAAGAAGUAGCGUGGUGAGAGAAAAAGAAAAGAGAAUCAGAUGCCAUGUUUAUAAAUAAUAAAUAAAUAAUAAUAAAUGUUUACUAGUGUCGGCAAACCUGAUGGCCACGUGUCUGGAUCUGAGUGGCUGUUCCUGCUAUUGUCUGUUUGAGGCCUUUUAUUUUAUCAUAAUGCUACUCUGAUACGGCAGGUACGGACCACGUCGUGCGCAUGUGAACGAUGGAUAAGGCUCAACUUGGUUGAAUAAUAAUAAUAUAUAAGCCUAAAUUACACCCUUGGUACUCAAAAAUUAUAAUAGAGUAUUUGAAAGCAUGGCUAAAUUUUAAUUUGUAUUAAUUUUAAUUUCUGAAUAUUUUAAAUUAUUUUAAUUAAAUUUUAUUAAUUUGUCGUCAACACGAAAGUAAUGUAGCUAUAUUGUGGCCGAUGAUGUGAUAAUAUUAAUUAAAAUAUUGCAUUAUUUUUAUAUCAGCGAUACGUUAAUAUUUAGUCUUAAAUUGAGUUAUGAACCUGAUUACAAUAAUUUACAAUAUUUGAAUUAGAAAUUAUAAUAAAUAAAAGUUGUGAGGACCAAAAGCUUUAUUUACCCAUAGUAUAAAAGAAAAAAAAAAAAAAGUACAUAGGCCUCCUUCAAUCUCAACUUCAACUAUUUUUUAUAAACCGUCCAAUUUUCGGUGUUUCACAAUUAUUAAAUUUUAUCAAAUAGUUUAAUAAAUUAUAGUUUAUUUUUUAAAAAAAUAAAAUUUUAAAAAUAUUUUAGAAUUAUUCUUGUGCAAUGUACGGUUUGACGACCAGUAACUAUGUUUCAACUAAGAAAAUAGAUUGAUUGACUCUUAUAAAAUUUGGACAUAUUUAUUGUUAAAAGAGAUAGGAUACUGGUUAAAUGGUAUAAUUUAAGUACUGAUUAAGCCUGAUGUAUUUUAUUUGUCCACAAGAAAUUUCACUUCUCUUAAUGUUGCUUUUUAUUCAUUUAAAAAAAAAUUAGAUGUUAUAUUUUUAGUUAUUUGAUUUGAUUUAAUAAAUGUAGUGGGUUAAGUUCUAGACCCACGAUAGAGGGUUGACUAUGUCGACAUUGUUUAUUUUGAGAUGCAUAGCACGUCUCACAUUAAUCUUAGCAAUCAUUUUGUACAAUUUAAAUUAUUGCAUUUGUUCUGUAAAUAACAAUAUCAUAUCACAUAUCCUGUUUGAAUAUACUGUUCUUUUUUUUUUUUAAAUUCAACAUACAUGUCAAAAUCAUGUACACCUUUUGGGAAAUUUGUAAUGAAACAAAUAUUUGAAAUGAUUUUUUCAACGCAAAGGAAUGGUAGAGAAAAAAUAACGCUUUGAAUGUGAAUCUCAAAUAUAUUUUAGAUUAACAAUUGAGAUAUUUUCUAUUUACAAUGACGGUGUUAUCUAAACAAGUCGAUCGAUCUAAUAGGAAAAGGUUUAGGAAUCAUAAAGAAAAUUAAAUGUUAUGUUAAAAAUUAUUAAGUUUUAUUUACUUGAUAAAUAAUGAUAGCAUAAGUUAUAACACUAAUAUUGAAAUCCUAAAAAAUUAUAUUAGAAAUAAAAAGUUCAAAGAAUUGGGUUAGCCCAUAAUCUAGCCCGGUCUAGGACGGGCCGGAUGCGGAUACAUGCCGGGCUGGUCCAGGCCCGUUCGGUUUUGGCCCGGACAUGGUGGACUGGGUCCAGGCAAUAAUUUCUCCCACUGGGGUCCAUGGCGCACGGUUACACACUAAUGCAUUCGAUGAUUUAUUUUCAUUUGUGAGGAUGUGAUUAAAAGCUUUUGCUUUCCCUUUUUUUUUUACUUUUUCUUCUGUGAGUAUAAGUUGGACCCUAGACCUGUAACACACCAUUUAGGAGUUACUAAUUAUCUGCGCCACACAUAUACAAGUUGAUCGAAGAUGUUGAGGAUCAAUGCAGAUUCUUCCAUUGCAGCUCAACAAAACACAUCAAGAAAUAGGCAAGCAUGCAGCAGAUUCAUUUCUCUAAAUGAAGAGAAAUGUUUAGUCUUGUUUUUAGUUUAGGGAAGUCCCCAACAAUUAUUGGACGCAAUCAAUUAGUCUUGCAAAGACCAUCUCAAUUUAGCCUUUUUUUUUUUAAUAAUUUUCUAGUAAUUCUCAAACAAUAGCCCAUUUUGAAAUAGGCACUGGAGCUCAUCAGUUUGUCACAUUCCAUGCAAGCCACAACAUCUAAUCAAAUGUCUCCAUAUUACAAACAAACGCGCGAGAAACUUUUUGUUAAAACAUCAUUUCAAUACGAGGUAACCAUAUUAUCCUGGUUAGACCUUUUCAACAUCUCACAUUGUAUAAUAUGAGACGAUGAAAUAUAGACUCCAAUACAACUACUGAUCCAGAAUAUCAUAAAAUAUUCAAAUUCAAGAACUUUGAAACAUCUCAGCGCUAUCCAUAACAUUGCCAUGAUCAAAGAAUCAGACAACAUGCAUACAAAGAACUACUCACAUGUCAAGAGUUCUAGUAACCGCAGAAUGCUGAUAUACUUGAGGUCACUUAAGUUUGAAAAAAGACCUACAUAAGAAGCUGAAAUAGACCGAAACCGAAAGUACCAUAAGAGCAACAAAAUCCUCCACAGCUGAAUCCUCUAAUGCUGCUACGAGACAGAUGCCUGGAAACACAGAUCAAUGAUUUAGUCAAUGAAAAGUCAUAUUAAUAGUUAUCAGUUCACGGCUCACUGUUUAAACCAGUGGUUUAAAGACUACACCAUGACUAAUCUUACUGGUAAUAAAAGAAUGAAGUGCAAGAGAACUAAGUGUUAGGCCAAAACAAGAGAGUGCAUUUUUGACCUGAAGCAUUAUCACUUGAGUCUAUUAUUUUUCAACAGUUUGAUAAAAGAUCUAGGCAUAAAGAAGAAAACCAGCUGGUCCAAUCAAAACUGAAGCAGCUUACCGGUUCACCAGUUUGAAUGGAUUGAUGUGUUUUUUGGAACUUUUCAUUUUAUGGAUUAACCCUAACUGUCCUAGGCAUGGUUUAAUCAGCCAGUUCAAAUGGUUUUUAGAACGUAGGUACAACCCCACAGGACCUCUAAACCCAUUUCACAAGAUCCCAUAUCAGUUAACAUGUGAAAAGUUACAGAUACCAUAAAAUCAAAAGAAAUUUGACACAACAUGCAAACACCUCAAAGCUUAAACAGAAUGCUUUAAAAAAAAUAAAAAAAUAAAAAAAAAAAAUCUUAAGACUACACAGUACUGAAUAGCAAAAUAUGCAAGUGCACCCAAUUAUCGAACAAUAACCCACUUUAGGUUUACAGUUUUCAGCUUAAUGAGGUUGCUAAAAGAACUAUCAUACAGGAUUGUUGUAAUAUUUCAUUGUCCAAAAGCCAUUUCAGAGAAAUACACUAAUCAUUGCGCCUAAACAAGAAAAACUUCUUCAUGAUUUCGACUUUAUCAUAUUGAGAGACAUCAUUAAGGCUAUGAUUGUGUAUAUUGUAAUCUAUAUCUCAACAUAAACCCUUCAGAAUUAAGAUGAAAUGACAGCUUACAUACUAUCGACCUGAGCAAUUAUAGGUCAAUAUAAAGGAAUAAACAAAUUCAAACAUAUAACUAUCACAUGCUGAAUCUAUUCUUUAGAUAUACAAUAUGACAAAGAUGAUCCUUCUUCUAGCAUCUACCAUGGUGAGAAGCCAUCGCUAUUGAAAAUGCAAGUAUGCAUUUGAACUAAGUAGGAUCGCCUUCAUCUGACUGGUUAUUUCAUUGUACCCAAGUUGAGGAAAAUUAUUUGCAUUGAAAGUAUUUUUCUCCUUUAUUGAUAGGAUGAACCUUAUACCAAAUUUAACCCAAGGUUUAAACCUCUUGGUUGGCCACAAACACAACUGCCUCUGCCCAAGUUCAACCCACACCUAGGUUAUAAAUCAAGGAAUAGGUCAGUAUGUAGCCACAUAGCCUUACUAAAAUAUUGUUCGAACGAGGCAAAACUUCAAAUUCUUCCUACUUAAUUCUUUUGCAGCGGAAUGGAACCUAGGUUGACGAAAAUCAGGCCCUUUGCGUCAAAGUUAUAUGAUCUGGAGCACUGAGAUGCCUAGACCACUUCACCACUUUUGGAUUUUGACACCCUAAUUAACUUCUAAUUUUUAUAUAGAGAAAUUCCUAAAAAGCUGCUCCACAGCUCCAAAGAUGUAUAGGCCAGAACUACAGCGUACCUACUAGAUUGCUUAAAGAUUUUACAUCAGAUCUGAUGGAAAUAAAAGGAACUUCAGCAAGCUAAAAAGAAGCAAACACAAGGAAAGAUAAAUGUAACAUAUAGUAGUUAAGGACGACGGAGAUUAUGAUAUGAAGUUAGGGUUAAACGAGUCGAUAGAAACUGCUUCAAUCGGUUUAACGUCAAGCAACUGACAAAAAAUAAAACACGUACUUAGGCCAGUAAAAUGCCUCUACUAUGUUUUAACAGAACAACUACAUACUAGCAUCUAAAAGAGCAAUAGGAAGGUAGUAGUCACAAGAAGCGGUGGAUCUUGGCAUUAAUGUUAUUGAGAGGUGGAGGAACCAUAAGGAAGAAGAAGGUUGAUGCCAAGCGAUUACAAAAAACAGAGGGUCAUUCCAUUUCACCUCGGCACUGAGGUUAAUUUCCAAUUAUUAUAGGAUUGAAUUCAGUUUUGAAAGAUUUGUUAAACUGCUUUCCUCUGGAAUGAGACUCAUUUAGGAUGACUUCUCCACACCGGACUGCAAGUACAGGCAUCGAUUUCUUCCGACUACCGUUUCGUGAUCCAAAUCCGUCCAACAACAUUAAAAUUUUCGAUUUAAACACCGAGAGCUAAAAAUAAACUAGGUUCGUCUUUCACAUCCUAUAUAUAUACCCCAUUUCUAAAAAUUCGCAAGCAAGCAAAUCAUCAUGCAUGAUCAAGAAAAUGUACCACUCUGAAGACACACAGGGAUGGGCGAAAUACCGGAGAUCUACUGCUGCUGAUUCUGGCCGGGCUGCUGGGGAUUCGGCGGCGGCGGCGGCAUCCCCGGCCUCGGCGGGGCGAACAUGGGCACGCCUGCGCCGGGCGGGGGCGGCAUCCCGGGCCUGGGCGGGGGCGGCAUCCCGGGCCUGGGCGCGGGCGGCGGCGGGCCCCUCAUCAUCUGCGGGGGAGGGCCCAUGGGCCGCUGGCCGAACUGGGGCGGCGGGCCGGGGAACUGCGGGGGCGGGCCGCCGGGCCUGGGGGCGAACUGCAUGGACAUGGGCGGCGGGGGGCCGCGGCCGACGGGGGGCUGGGGCUGGCCGGGGUAGCCGGGGGGCGGGGGCCGCACGACCUGCGGGUAGGCGACGGGCGGGGCGGAGAGCUGGGGCACGGGGGGGCGGGAGAUCUGGGGCUGCAUCAUGCCCGGGGCGGGGCCGCCGACGCCGCGGACGGGGCCGGCGAGGCCGGGCUGGGCCUGGACGAGGGGGGCGGCGGGGACGCCGCGGCCGNCCUUGGCGCGGGAGUCGUCGGGGGGAGGGGGGCCCUCGACCGUCAUGGAGACGACCUCCUCGCCGCGGAGGAGGACGAGGCCAAGGGUGCGGCGCUCCUCGCGCUCCUCGCCGGCCUUCUUCGCGCCCUUCACGGGGGGCAGCCUCCGGAACUCCUCGCAGUCGCCGAGCACCAGGUUCAUGUGCCGGUCGAAGGCCAUGAACUUGCCCACCAGCUGCCGCCCGUCCUGGAUCGUCACGCGCAUGCGGUAGUUGAUGAACUGCAGCAUCUUCGACCCCUUCGACAUCGACAUGGUCGCCGCGCUCGCUACAAUUUCCCUCCCUCCCCGGACACCAGGGCUUAGGGUUAGGGUUAGGGUUUAGGAGGUAUUGUUGGGAGUGCGGAGGUAGAAGAGAAGAAGAAGAAGAGGCGGGGGAAAGGGUUUUUCUUUUCUAACCCGAGCCGAGAGCGGGUUUGAGCCUUUUAUUGGGUUCGGGUUACGGGUGAGACUAGCCUGGCCCCGGCCCCGGCCCCGGCCCGGGGUUUGUUCAAUGAGUUUAUUUUAAAAAUUACAAAUUUAUGUAAUAAUUUAUUUUUAAUUUUUAAUUUUUAGUAUUUUAAAUUACAAUUUUAUGUAAUAAUUUAUUUUUUUUUUUAGGAGUUAUCACGUAGAAAUUAAAAUUUUAAACUCCAUUUGGUUUCGAAAAAAAAUUAGGAAUAAUAAAAAUUAUACACGAUAUUCCACGAAACCAAAAAUAAAUUUAUUUUAAAAUUUUAAUUUUCUAAAUCAAUAAUCAUAAAUUAUAGACCAUAUAAAUCUUAAAUCAUAACAUAUAUAUUAACAUAUUAAAUUACAAUUUUAAAAAAUUAAAAAAAUUACAAUUAUGGUGCACCUGGUAUAGAUGCACCAGGUGCACCCAGAAAUUCCACUGCUUUCCCCAUUGGGAGAGCAGUGGGGCGCCUGUGCCAUCCGGCGCCCAUCGGGGAGUAGCCCCAAACUAAGUAAUGUGGGGCUAGUGCCCAUAUAAUUUUUGUCCAGUUGUAACGUGGGGAUAUUCCAGGCGCUAUCCGUACAUUUUUCACCCCCUUUUACUCCGCUAUCCAAAUCCCCCGCACGCUUCGCGGCUCCUCCCAUGGCUUCCCUAUCCUUUCCCGCCAUCUCCGUCCCCACCUCCGUUCGCCGCGGCCUCGCCCCAACCCAAACCGCCCGGUCCGGCCCGACCGCCAGAUCGGCCGGUCCGGGUACCGGUCGACGCCGUCUCGGCUCGGUUUUUUCCUCCGGUGCGAAUUUAGCGCGUCCGAGCCCGAUCCUGAGUCGAAUCGGAGAGGAAUCUUUCGACAAAAGGGAACCCAUGGUUCCCCCUUUUAAUGUCCUCAUCACUGGUUCCACUAAAGGUCCCAAUCCCAAAUUUACUUUAUUAUUAUUAUUAUUAUUAUUAUUUACUUUUCUCUUAUUUCAACUUUUAUUUAGCUUUGCUAUGCAUUUUCCAUACCUUAAUGCUAUUUUUUUUUCCCCUAAAUUUUCUCUUUAGCUCUGAUCUGUUUCUGCGUUCUACGUGCAGGUUUAGGGUUUGCACUUGCCAGAGAGUUUCUGAAGGCGGGGGAUAACGUUGUAAUCUGCUCAAGAUCAGGCAUAUUACUAUUGCUUUUUGUCGUUGUUACUUCGAACAUCGAUUUUGUUGCUAUACGACAUGCUAAUGGAGGCGGUGGUCACUUAGAAUUUAAAGCUGCAGUUUGAAGAAAAGUAUUCUGAGAUGCUGCUUAUUUUUUUUGCAGCUGAGCGCGUGGAAUCAGCCGUUCAGAACUUAAGAAACGAGUUUGGAGAGCAGCAUGUGUGGGUAUCUACUGCAUAGCUGCUUUUUUUCUUUUUUUUUUUCGUUUUUGGUUCUUUCCCAAGCUUGUAGAAUCUGGAGUUGCCUAUAUACUUAUCGAACAAAGGUACCUUAAGAUUGUGAGUCAUCUAAUUCGCAGGGCGAGGAUGCUUAAAUUUUGUGCUUCCUCAUCCCUGAAUUAAGUAUUUUGAGGGGAUAUAUGUGAAAAUUCAGAUUUUGCAGCGGCUUAGAUGUAGAUGUCUAUACAUCUUUUCGUUUGGUGCUUUGAACAGUUCUUAAGGGAUGGUUAUUUUUCACUGCAGGGAACUGUGUGUGAUGUCAGGAAAGGAGAGGAUGUAAAGGAACUAGUUAAUUUUGCACGUGACCGGCUGAAAUACAUAGAUAUAUGGGUAUAAUAUAAACCGCCCUGUUAAUGCCGUUCUAUAUGUUUAUUGGAAUUCUCCAUGUAACUUCUCGGAAAAAUACCACUAGGUCGAAUGGAGACUUGGUUCUCUGGUGCUAACCACCAUGCUUUAAUCAACAACGUUGUCCAUUCAGUAAGCAGAUAGAUUCAUGCUUGAUGCGAAGUUAGAAACACUUACUGUAUUUCCUUAACAAAUGAAACAGAUCAACAAUGCUGGAUCAAAUGCGUACAGUUACAAACCGUUGGUUGAGACUUCUGAUCAAGAUCUCAUGUGAGCUUUCACUUGCAUAGUCACCUGGCUGUCUCAAUCCUCCAGUUAGUCGCUACGUGCUUCCGAUCUUUAACUUGUUUAUUUACUAUUUUAUGAAGGGAAGUUGUUACCACAAACACUCUUGGGUUGAUGAUUUGUUGCCGUGAGGUAAUGUUUGUUUGUAACUUGUUCUUCGAACAGUGAAAGCAACUCGAAAAGUAUGUUCUUGCUUCUACUUUUGAUUUCUCUAUGUAACUUUGUAGGCAAUAAACAUGAUGCUAAACCAGCCUCGAGGUGGUCAUAUAUUUAACAUUGAUGGUGCUGGUUCUGAUGGAAGGCCGACCCCUAGGUGUGUUUCGCAGACAUUUAGUUGUUACUGGUAUUAAGACAGAGUUAGAACUUAGAAAUAUGUGGUUAAUAUUGGUACUGAUAGGCUUAAAGAACAAAUAUGUUUCCCUUGAAUUUAGUACGUAUAGAUCUGUUGUUCAGAAUAGUGUUAAGCACGAGCUGCUCGCUUGGUUCCUCAUCGAGUACAAAUGCUAGAUGUGCAGUUUCUAACUUUAUUUUUUCUUUCUUUUAUCUUUCUUUUUGCUAAUGGAAUCAUGACAUGAUCGUUCCACAGAUUUGCUGCAUAUGGUGCAACAAAGCGUAGUGUAGUGCACCUCACUAAAUCUCUACAGGUAGACAUGGAGAGGAAUAAGCAUUGUGUAACAUUGUUAUCUGAUCAUCAUUUUGGUGCUUACUAGGAGUUUGACAGACGUAUAUGAUCUGUUCAAAUUUCAGGCAGAACUGCAGAUGAAUGAAGUAAAGAAUGUUAUGGUGCAUAACUUAUCGGUAUUUGACCUAUUUUUGUUGUUCUUUUGGAGUUCAUUUGUUAUUUAAAGAUUCUCGCGUACAUGCAUUUUUCGAUGAUGAGAUUUCUUUUUUGCCUGAUUAAUAUUUUACAAUUCUUUAAUACAUGCUUUGUCCCCAUGCAUUUUGAUUUUGAUAUAUAUAUAUAUAUUUUUGUCCAUUGCAGCCUGGGAUGGUAACGACGGAUCUUCUUAUGUCUGGGGCCACCACAAAACAAGUAUACAAUCAGUUCGAUAUCUCCUAUUCCGUAUUAUGAAAGAACCAGUGCUUCUUAAUGAUAAUGUAAUGCUGAAUUUGCAGGCCAAGUUUUUCAUUAAUAUCUUAGCUGAACCGCCUGAGGUGGUAAGAAUUUCAACACCCUUUAUUUAAAAAUUUUAUGAUGCCGAAUUGGGUACUUUCCAUUUCUCGGAGCCAUGUUAAGAAGUUACUUCUAGCUUGUGGAAACUUAUGCUGAUGAAAUUGAUUAAUGGUAAUAAUAUCAUAUGUAUGUUCAACAAUUUCUUCAUACUAGUUGAUUGCCCUAUGCAUAUCCAACAAUUUCUCCAUGCUGGUGCCUCUUUCCUUGUCAAUUGAUCAACAUUAAUUAUAUUUCGCAUGGAAGAUUUAAGUUCCUUGUUGUCCUGUGUUAUGCUCGCAAAUGGUAAUCUAAUUGGCACUUUUAGACAGCAUGGUAUUUCAAAUUGUAUAGUGUCAUUUUGGAAGCUCUCCAUCUUCUAGAGAACUUUCAUAUCUUCUAAUUAAUGUUUUCUUAUGAAAAAUAUUUUGAACAUUAAUUCUUCCUAUUAAACAUCUGAACGAUCUGCACUUCUGCUUAGAACAGCCAGAAGAAGAUAUUUAGUGGGAAGUUCAUCAUCUUGUGAUUGUAUUCGCAAAUUGAAAUAAGCUUUGACCCUAUACAGCUAAUUUGAUUUUUAUGGAAAAAGUAGAUUCAGUGUGUAUGAUGGAUGAAAUGGUUAUGUUUUUUUUUCUUAUAUUGUAUAUCUAUAGAUUGUGGACAAGCUAUGUAUGUACUUCACUUAUUGUUACUUCCUGUAGGUUGCCGAGUACCUUGUUCGAUGCAUCAGAUCAGUUCCCAGCAGCAGAUCCAUGAAGCCAACCUACAUUCGCUUCCUCACAGGCUUGAAAGCGUACUCCCAAAUAUUUUCAGUUAAGAAACCCACAUAAUACUUCAGCUUCUACUACUUAUGAUAAUGUUUCGGUAAAAUGUGCGAGCAAAUCUAAUAAUUGCCUUUUUCUUUUCCUUCUUGGCAUCUAGAGACUUGCUUUUGGCGCCCGACGAAACAGAUAUCUUGUAGAAGAUUGAAGGAUUUCUAUAACUCACUGAGUCAGCGCACUAUUUGUUUUCAAUUUUCGCUUCUCUGAUGCAUGACUAAAUUAUUCACUUAACUUUCAUAUACGGCUCGUCGAUUGUUUUUUGUAUAUAGAUUCUCCAUUAAUGGGCUUUAGUUUGGUCUUUACUCCCUUCCUAGGGCAUGAAGCAUGCGACAGCAUAUCUCGAUGAUUCUUUAGUUAGACUAAGGAAAAAGCCGUACAACUUGCGUACUGUCGAUACAAAACUGGUGUACAGUAUAAGAUGUUUUUAUUGCUAUUGUUUGUGGGCAUUAUAGUAUCUUAUUAUUGAGGAGAAUGCCUUGAAACUGUUUCUGAUAAACUGUAUGCAACUUAAUUAAUUUGUGGGUGGGGAUUCUUUUGUCAUAUGCUUUGAAACAACUGCUUUAGGGCCUGUUUGUUUGGGUGAAAGUGAAGAGAGGUGAAGUCGUUUUCGGCCAUAAACGAUUACUGCCAUUGUUUGUUUCGCCGUAAUAAAAAUACAGUUGAAACUCGAGUUACUCGGAACUGUGUAAUUGACAUUGAUCCACCAUGAGCCGAAGUCAGUUACAAUGAAGAGAGGUGAAGAAAAAAAUAAUAAAAUAAUAUAAUGAGUAAUUCUAGUUAUAUUUAAAUAUAGAACUAAGCUGGAAUACUAUUAAUAGCACCAAUGACUUGGUGCUAUUAAGUUUUCCGCCCUUGGAUUAAAAGAUGUGCGGUUAGGAUGAUGUGGACCUCCUAGGGUUGAGUGGGUGGUUGGUUGAAUAGUAUAAUCUAACGUGUAAAAAUAAUCAAAUGGGUUAAUCUAACGGCAGAAAAUUUGAUAGCACCAAGUGCUUGGUGCUAUCGAUAGCAUAGCGGCCGGACUUUUUAAAUAUCUAUUAACAUAUAUGAUUUCGUAAUAAUUUUGUCACGUGGUAAUUUUUCUUUUACCCUCAUUAAAAUCUUUGCACUUCUUUAUUUUUUGUAACCGUUUUUUCUUUUAGGAUGCUCUUAUAAGUGUCAAUGAGUGAAAGUUAUGAUAAACAUUUAAGUGACAACAGUUAUAAUUAUUUAUUGGUCUUAAGUAAUAUACAAAUACACUUUUAAAAAAUUUAAAAAUCAUCCGUGCUAAUUCAUAUGACUUUAUAUUUGUCAACAAAAUAUUAUAAUUUUAAUUUCAUUUUUCUCAUUUCCUGUGAAUUUGUGAUCAAGUAUAAAAUAUUGGUAUUAACACAAAAUCAUUACUCUAAGCUAUUAAAACAUAUUAGAACUAAAUAAUUAAUUUGCUUAUUUUCUUUUCAAUUAAUAUUAUAAUUCUUUUUAUUAGCAAAUAUCAACUUUUUGCCUUUUUGUAUUCUAGAGUUUGUUCAGCUAUUUGAAACAAAUUAUUCUGUUGCAUAUCAUUAGGACAAGUUAAUAUAAUUUAUACAUUAUAUUUUAAUAUUCAAAUAAUCUGUACAUUAUACUUCAAUAUUAAAAAUUAUAAAAUACAAAUUUAAUCAUGAAAUUUUGACAAAACAGAGGGCAUAGUUUUAGCUUUAUUAAACACUUAUAUAUGUCAUGUUUUUUCCUAUAUUUUUACUAUUCCAUUUAAAUUAAUUUUAUAUUGUAUUAGAAGAUAAUAUUAAGUCUAAAUAAGCACUCUCAAUAACCAUUAUAGUUCUAAUAACAUGCAACACCCACUACUAUGAAGAAUUAAAAUCUAAAUUAUAACUUAAGCACUAAUUACAUAUGUUUCGAUGACCUUUUAGAUUCUUAUUAGCUAUGUUAAUCAUCAAAGUUAUAUAUCUAAUUUAACCAUAAGAACCAUUAUAGUUUUAACGUGUAACACCCACUAUCAAGUGGCAUUAAAAGUGGAGAUAUAAUUUAACCACUAUUACAUACGUUUUCAUGGCCCUUUAGAUUCUCAUUAUAUGAUAAAUUGAUUAAUGAUGAAUUAACUAUAUUAAUUAUAGGAUUAUUCCUAUCUACUCAAGCGGCAUUAAUUGAAAAUUUAUUUUUUUAAAUAUUGAGUAAAAAUUAGAGUAUCACAAGAUAGAUGAAUUAAGUAAAAUAAAAACAUCUUGACUAUUUGCAAUAUCUCCCUACCCGCCGCAACGUGCGGGUUACUACACUAGUAUAUAUCUAUGGCACUAAUUACUUUUUUGUUUAGUCUGCAUAUUUAAAAUAUUAUAAAAUUUGAUCAGUUAAGUUUAGUAUUUUCUUCAUUUAGCUUGUACAUUUAAAAUACGAUGAAAAUUGAUUAGUUAAGUAUUUAUUUUUUUUAACUUUAUAAUUUUAUUGUUGUAUUAUUAUAAUUUAUGUAUAAAAAAAUAAUUUAGUUGUUUUAGAUUUAUUUUUUUUUAUUAUAUAAGAAUAUAAUUAUAUUAUUUUUAUUUAUUAUAUUAUAAUUUAUUAAUUAUUAAGUUAUUUAUUAUUUAUACAUAGAUAAUAGUUUUACAUCAUUCACUUUCUACCAAAUAAACAGCAUAACUGAAAAACUUUACUUUCAUAGUUAUGAAAUAAAUAAUAGAAAAGAAGUAGUUUUCACCGAACUUUAUUUCAAGCUAAAAUCUACUUUAACAAAAAGUUGAGUUUCGGUGAAACAAACUAGAAACUUAGGAUGAUCUUGGGUGCUGAAUAGUAGUACAACGUGUUCCAAUUAUUGCUACAAUAAGUUAGGAUUUGGUUAGAUUUGUAGUUGAAUCCUAUUUGGAUAAGAAUUACCAUUUAAAUCUGUUUGAGAUAAAUUAAAAUUUAAAUAUUAAUUAGAGGAUAAACCUAACUAGAUUAGGAUUAAUAUUUAAAUCUAUUAGAGAUUGAUUAAGAUAGAUUUGGAUAUUAAUUAAAGUAUGAAUCCUAAAUAUAUUAGGAUUGGAGUACGUUUUAAAUUGAGCAUUAUAAAUAGGCAUUGUGGCUCUC
rnacentral:lncRNA from 1 species